UUAUAUCUUGACCCUCCAAAUUAUAAUUUAUUAUAAUUUUUGACUCAAAAUUUUAAAAUUAUUAUAUUUAAAUCUUAUAAUUCACUUUGAUUGGUUGAAUAAUGAAGUGUUACUAAUGACACGGUGACGUGCUACAAUUAAUAAGAUACCAUAUUGCUACCACACUAGCAAAUCAUCAGUAUUCAUUCUACUAAAUUAGACUGUAAAACUCAGUUAUAAUAAGUUAAAAAAAUUAAGUAAUAAAUUGUAACAAAUUAAAGUUGAACGUAACGAAUGUCACUGUACUCAAAGUUAGGUACCCUUGUUAUUAAGUUGAGAUAUUAUCUAGUUCUCAUGCAAUAUUAUAAUAAUACUAAUAAUAAUAAUAAUAAUAAUAAUAAUAAUGAAAAAUAUUUGGUAUGGGCUACAAAACUGGGUUCUACGUUUCGGUUGUCGCCCAUGGUUACGAGCAAUGGGUUUAAAGCAUUUUAUUUGCCGUGUACUUGCUCGGACGUUAAUAUGCUACGGACAAAAAUUUUAUGAGCACCGUGCCCAAACAAUUUGUUUAGGCACGGUGCCCGGAUGGGCGCCGUGUGUGUAGCAGUGCCCAUCCGCAGCCUCAAAAAAAAAAAAAAAAAAAUGGUGGGCUCGGUUUUUAGGUAGAGAGGAAAAAGGAGGGGGAAGGGAGGGUGCGGAUGAGGACCGCUGCACACGCGGUGCUCAUUGGGCACAUUUGUUUGGGCAGAGUGCCCAUAAAAUUUUUGUCCAUAUGCUACGCCCUUUAUUGAGUACAUUAAUUAAUUGAGCGAGUCAAAAUGUUGACCUUUACCUCAGUGUGUUUUGCCCUAUGAUAGAUUUUCCAGGAGUUUUUGUUUUUUAUUUUUUCCUUUGAGAAAUAUGUGGAACAUAACUAUCUUAUAUUCUCUUUUAAUUUUACUAUUCAAUCUUUCAAUCGGCUUGAUUUGAGUCAAUUAUUAAUACUUUAAUUUUAAAAUCUAAACUAAUUUUUUUGUUUUAAUGAAUUUUAUAGUUACGAAAAUUUUACAAAGUAUACCAAGUCUGUAAAAAUAAACGGUGAAGUCAAAUUGAACAAAUUAAAGGAUUGAAUAGCCGAUUCAAAGUAGGUAAGUUCUGUACAGUUUGAUGUUGCUCUAAUAUUAUAUUAAAUAAUUUGAAAUAAUUAUUUUAUCUCUAAAAAUUUAAAUUAAUGUGGAUCUAAUGGUUUAUAUGUUUUGUCUAUUUGAGUAUAAGUUUGAGCUAAUCAUUGAGUUUUUUUAAUUUUUAUAUAUUUUUUGUCAUUUUCGAUGAUGGACGCAGAUGAACAAACGUGAAACGUGAUUUAUUUUUAUUUCCUUUCUCCACGGAUCGAAACUCCCAGUCAAAUCCAACAACAUGGUUUUGUCAACGUCAACUGCACGCAUUUGUUGAUUAAAAACCAACUCGACGAAAUUUCUAGAAACAGUUUUUUUAAAAUAUAUAUUUUUUGCGGUACUUAAGUUCACCUUGCAAUUUUUUUUUUUUUUAAAUAAAUAGUAUGCUACUGUUUUAUUUAUUUAAAAAAUAAAUUUAAUUACAAAAUAGGACAGCAGUGGUCUCAUAAAAAAAAAAAAAAUUCAACAUGAAUUAUUACCGAAGCAGAAGCGAAACCAUAGAUCCUUAAGAGUUCUAAUCUCGAACAGCAAGUACCUCAACGAGUGUUUAGUAUUUGAAAAAAAAUUUCCGUUCCGCCCCAACCAAAAAACCCACAAAGUGACGGCGAUAGUCACUAACUCUCUACCCCCUUUAUACAUCCUUUGCAAUAGCUCACAUUCCAUAAUCCCUUGGAUGAUGAACAGUUCCGAAGAAAAUGUUUGGUAGUACUUUUCAGCAAAGCUGUAGAACAUGUACACCUUGAAAAGAGGUGGUCCAUCAUCUCCAUCUCGUCCAAACAGAAGAUGCAACCUUCCUCUCCCCUCCAAUCCCUUUUUAAAAAGUUAUCCGCUGUUAGUACCUUAUUUUUCACGACUAAUCAUAUAAAAAUUUUGACUUUAAGAGAGGAUCGAAUCGUCCACCAAUGGGUGAAGCUUUUAUCAAUUACACCACCACCUUGCAGUUACUUAAGUUCACUUUCGAAUUAUAGGUGGGAAAAGAUACAUACUUGGAGAAAGUUCAAUAAAAUAAUAUUCUAUUAUUUCUAAAAGUGAUAAGACAAUGUUCUAUUAAUUUUUUAAUUCUAUUUGAAUAUGAUUUAUGUGAUUACUAGAAAAAUAAAAAAAAAAAUAGUGGAGAGAUCACGACAUCUUGUGAAGUCAUAAUUCAUCAUCAUGUGCAAUUUUAUUUUUAUUCAAGAGUUAUAAUUAUCAUUCUGAAAUUUAAAAAUAUUUAUUAAAUUUUAAUAUUAAAAAUAUUCCUAAGGUGAAUUAUUGAAUGAAGGUGAAAAAAAAAUAACAUAUGUUAGUAGACCGAGAGCUCCGAGCAUGAUGGAUUUUGAAAUCCAUCAUGUUCGAAUCCAAGUUCGAAAUCCAAAUUCGAUAACUAAAUUAGAAAUCUGAGUUCGAAUCUGAACACGAUGGAUUUUGAAAAUCAACAAAAAACUCAGAAUUCGAAUCCGAACCCAAAAAAAUUAUGUGUCUUUACCAUAUUUCAAAAUAUUAUUAUAUUAAAAUCUAAUUUUAAAAUAUAAAUUUAAAUAUAAUAUUAAAUAUUCAUAUAUAUUAUAUAAUGUAAAAUCUAUUCAAGUUUCGGGUGGAUUUAGGAUCGUAUUGGGCACAGAGAAAAUUCCCUAUCCAAAUCUGAAAUUGUCAUGUACUUAGUUUUAUUCCCAUAUUCACAAUCAUAUUUAUUUAAAAUCAGAUAAAUCUAUUCUGUAUAGGUUUGGCACCCAUUGAUAUCUCUAUUUCCCACUAUUAAGUUCAAACCAAGAGAAUAGAGUGAUUUAUAUUUUAUAUUCAAUAUUCUCUCUCACGACGGCCUCAAAUUUUUUACGAAUGAGAUUAAAAGUUUAGACUAACUUUGAUUUCAAAAUCUUCUACUUCAAUGUCAUUUUACAGUCUGUCUCUAAACAUGUAAGCUGCUAACUAAAAAUAAUAUUUCAAGAUAUUAACACUCAGCAAGAGUUAUUUUAAGAUAAUCAUAACUCUGAUUUUUAAUCAGCAAUACUUUCAUCUAUAUUUAAGGAAAUUUUAAAGAACCUUUCAACUUUGUACAUUUUAUUUGACAUUAAUUUGAUGCACUACACUACCUCUUAUUUUGUGCCUAUCUUAUAGGCCAAUUUCAAGUCUCAAUAUUAAAUCCCACUUCUAAGUGAUAUCCUACCUUAACCAAUUUAACAAUUUCAUAUCCUAUACAUUAUAACCUCAUACAUAUCCAACAUGUUGGGAGAUUACUAAGGUCCUAAGUUAUUCACCAAAAUGCCCAUGCCUAAGAGUUUUUGGAAUUAAAGUAAAUUAACAAAUUAUAGAUCAUAAUUAUAAUGUGAGACUUGUGAAUUAUAUAUGUCAUCCACCUCCUCCCCUUUAAAAAAAAGAAAUUACCCGCUGUUCCCUAGAGCAAGUGGCAAAGGAUUUGGUGGUUAAUACCCGAGAUCCCAAGUUCGAAUGCUAGUUGAUUCAUAUUUCCAGAUAAGUUUAUUUCUAAAAAAAAUAAACGAAACGGGUAGUGUGCUAUCUAUCUCUCUCUAAAAAAAAAAGAAAUUAAAAGAAAUAGUUAUGUUCCACAAAACAAGUCAUAUUAGCAAAAGUUAAUCCUUAUUGAUCUUAGGUUUAGUUUGGUAUUGAGGCCUAUCUAACGCUAAUUUUUUUUUGAGAGAGAUAGAUAGUACGCUACCCGCUUCGUUUAUUUCAUUUAGAAAUAAAUUUAGCUGGAAAUAUGAGUCAACUAGGAUUCAAACUUGGGUCUCGGAUACCAACCACUAAGCCCCUUGCCACUUGCUCUAGGUACGGUCGGUCUAUCUAACGCUAUUAGAUAAAAUGGAGUUGAGGAAAAAGCAUAUAGAGAUAUGCUUCUGUGUUCUCUGGUGGGACCGUAGAAAAUAUAUUAUAACUGACUCAUCGCGAUAUACGGCAUGCAAUAUUACAUACGGUGCUUCUGUGUUUUUCGGUGGGACCGUAGAAAAUAUAUCAUAACCGACUCAUCGCGAUAUGCGGAAUGCAAUAUUACGUACGGAAACAAACAGAGUAUUUUUCCAACGUACUUUCUCACCGUACGUAACGCAAUCUUCCUGCAAUCUCAAACGAAGCCUUAAUUAUACUUCAAUUUUUGUUCUCCCUGCAAUCCCAAACGAAGCCUUAAUUAUACUUCAAUUUUUGUUUCAAUCAUCCCUUUGUCCAAUUAUGCUUAAUGUCGUGCUGAAUAUAAUUUUAUAAAAUAUCGCAUGAGUAAUCCUUUGCAUAUAGCAAUAUUUUCUCUACCGUAAUCUAUAGAUCACCGCGAACAUCAUCACUUAUAGAUUCAAUUAAAGUAUAAUUUAAAGUUUAGCCAAUUAAUUUAAAUAAAUUAAAACUCGGUGAUCCGAGAGAUAACUUGAGAUUUAUUUGUAAGGGAUAGUUUAAUUUUUCUCAUUUUUGUGAGCACAAAAAAAAUCACCAUAAAAAGAAGACAAAAGGAAACAAGAAUUAUUCGAAGAGUUAGGCCCAAGAAUACUUUUAAAACAAGCAAUUUACUUCCACGUUAUUUUUAAGGAUGGAGCAAUUUAAUCGACGAUCGAUAUCAUUAAACACAAUCUAAACUAUCUGAACUUUAUGGAAAGCAGAUUUAUAAUUUUAGCGAUCAACUGGUUUCAAAUUCAACUCAUAUUAAUAAUUAAAAAUUAUCAAUUUUUAGAAUUAUUCGAAUACUCAACAAAUGAUCUUGAAAAAUUAUGAAAAUUUGAUUUAAUUGCAUACAGCUCCUAAUAAAUAUAUCGAAUAGCAGAUAUAUCUCUAUAAAGUUCAACUUUUUAUUUUUAUUUUUACAAAAAUCUUACUGUUUUUAAAUAUUUUGCUGUUAGAAUCUAUUAGAAAAAUAUAGUUAACCAUUAGUAAAAUACUUAACCCUCAUUAGUGUAUGAGGUAAAUUGACUUUUUUAUCUCUCUUAUUUUACCGAGUAAAUUAUUUUUUUGGGAGACAUUUAUGCAAUUCUAGCCGUUGGAGCAUUUAGAGGGAUAUAUUUGUAAGGGCAAAAAUGUCAUAUUACUUAUCUGUGUACUCUAAUAAUAACUAGGGGCGAAUCCGGGGUCGGUAUGGUUCCCACCUCCUGCUCUAUUUCUUAUCGGGGCGGGACGGAUUUGGAGCGAGUUAUUUUUUAUUUUAUUUUUGGGUCCUACUUACCACCCUAUUCGGGGUGGGAGUGGAUUUUUUAUGGAUUAGAACGGAUUGAAGGAAUAAAAGGGUCUCCCGCAUCACGCUCUAUUUACUAAUGUAUCGGGACGGAUUAUAUUUUUUUAUAUUUUUUGUUCUCACUUCCAGCCCCAUUCUGGGCGGAUCGCGGCGGGAGCUCGACCAACCCGAAUCCAUUUGCAUUCCUACCGAUAACAAAUGUGAAUAUCAGUGCACUUUUGUAGAGAUAAAAAUAGAAAGUGGAGUUUUGUAUAGAUAUAUUUAUUAUAUAUUUACAGAAAGCUGCAGGCAAUUAGUCCUUACUAAAUUUGGAAUCUGGUCAAAGGGAGGAGCACAAGACCCCUGCUUGGUCAAAGUUCCUUGAUCCUAUUAUGAGGGAAAAAAAUUAAGCACCAAUAGCGUAGUGUGUGGGGGAGAGGUAGUUACGGUUAAAAGGGAGUGGGGAAAUAAGCAGUUUACGGUAGUUAAGGAACUCCACACGUACUAUACCCACAUCUAAAUUUAUGCACCAAAACUCUCCUAUAAAAUCCCUCCAAAACACUUGGAUUUGAAAUAAUAAAUAACUAAAUAAAUAAAUAAAUAAAUAAGAAAUAAGAGUACAAAUUAAAAUAAAAAAAUAAUAUAAGGAAAAGAUCACGCCAAAAAAAAAAAAAAAAAAAACAGUUUAGAGGUGAGAAUGGAGACUAAGCUCUUGGUGUUGCUGUACCUCAUCUUCCAUGGAUUACGAAUCGUCGACGGCGUUCGCCCGACCGGCCCCGGAAAUUUCAACGUGAUGAGCUUCGGAGCGCGCGGGGACGGGCUUCGUGAUGAUAGCAAGGUUCAUAAUCACCUCCUAAUCCUCUCUCUCUCUCUUCUUUUUUUUUUUUGCGCUUUCCUGAGCUAUGAGCUUUGAUGAUUAAUUUGUUUCAAUUUAUGAACUCAGUUAUUUCUUUUCUUUGCAAGAUUUAAUUGCACCGGUUUCUCCGUGUGCAUUGACAAUAUAACUCGUGCAUUUCGAUUCGCGUUUGCUUUAAAAUAAGAGAAAAAAUUAAACUUCUCCUAAAAGAGAAGCUAUGAGAUAAAAUGUACGUAUAUAGAGUCUUUGUUUGCUUCUUCUGCUUUCGCACGAUUAUCGUAUUAUUGUUCUACAGCUAGCCAAACAGGCCCUAGAGCGGUUUUUAAAAUUUUUGGUUUUUUUCUAUAAAAAAAUUUCUCUCUCUUAACAAAAUAUUCUCAUUUUAAAAAAAUUAUAUAUUAUUUUAUAUAUGGCUCAGGCAUUUCAAGAAACAUGGAAAGCAGCAUGCAAUUCUACAGGGAGUGUGAAGCUUGUGAUUCCAAAAGGGACGUACUUUCUCAGCCCUGUUAAGUUCAGGGGCCCAUGUGCAAAUGUGCAAUCCAUCACAGUCCAAUUGCAGGCAAGUUUCAAAUUUAAAAUUCACAAGUCAAUUUUCAAAUUUUCUCUCCUAAACUUAUCAAACAUAAAGGCAACAUAUGCAGAAUCUAUUCAAAGUGAUUUUUACAUAUAAAAUUUUAUGAUGCUGCUUAAUUCUUAGUAAAUAUAAAUUUUUACUAAAAUUUUUAAGGAAUGUGUUGUUGGGAUGUAAUUUGCAGGGAACGCUAAAGGCAACGACUGAUCUGAGUAAAUACAGGUCCGGGGGCUAUUGGGUCGAAUUCGGGUUCGUCGAUCACUUGACCGUAACCGGUGGGGGGACCCUUGAUGGCCAGGGUUCUCUCGCUUGGCCCCACAACAAAUGCCCUGUGAAAAAGGACUGCAAACUCCUACCUACUGUAAGAUUCACAUCGUAGCUAACGCAUUAGUAUCUGUUCUUAUCUGUCAUUUUCAACUGCAUGCAUCUGUUGCAUUCGCACAUUCGCGCACCCUAAUCUCAUCAUUCACUACCGUACUAAUAAGAUACGCUUUCUAUGGAUGCACAAAUGUAAAAAAACUCAGUAUCUGUUUGGCCUAGCUUUUACCUCUAUAUAUUUUUAACGAUAGCAAACUAACUUUGGCUAUUUCUUCGUUGUAGUCUUUGGCGUUCCUAGCGACAAACCACAGCAAAAUGAAGGACAUAACAUCGGUGAACAGCAAGUUCUUCCACAUUGCGCUGCUGAGCAACGCGAACUUCAAGGCGAGCGGCAUCAAGAUCGUCGCACCCGCGGAGAGCCCCAACACCGACGGCAUCCACCUCGAGCGCAACACGGCGGUCACCAUCUCCAACUCCAAGAUCGGGACGGGCGACGACUGCAUCUCCGUCGGCCAGGGCAACCACGACAUCACAAUCGCGGGAAUCAAGUGCGGGCCCGGACAUGGCAUCAGGUACCGAAAGACGCUUGAAAAUUGUAAUAUAUGAGAAAGUUCAGGAACUAAACUGUUGCGAUAUGCUUCGCAUAAACUAACCUUACGUUUCAAAUGAUUGUUUGUUCUAACUGUUGGUGGCCGCGGUGGUAAUGAUUGAUAGUGUCGGGAGCCUAGGGAAGUACGAGGACGAAGAAGACGUGACGGGACUCGUCGUAAAAGAUUGUACCCUCACCGGGACGGACAAUGGCGUCCGGAUAAAGACGUGGGAGAACUCUCCGAAGAGUACCAAGGCUUCGAACUUGACAUUCGAGAACAUCGAAAUGGAUAACGUACGCAACCCGAUCAUCAUCGACCAGACGUACUGCCCCUUCGCCAAAUGCCAGUCCGCGGUGAGCUCGAUAAACAUAGAUUGAAGCAAAAAAAAAAAAAAAAAAAAAAAAUCUGUAAAAUCGCGAGUUUCUAACUUUGGUGGACGCAAUGCAGGCGCCUUCGCGAGUGAAAAUCAGUGACAUUACGUUCAAGAACAUACGGGGGACGUCGACAUCGCCGGUCGCGGUGACACUGAAGUGCAGCAAGGGAAUACCGUGCGAGAACGUGAGCCUCCAGGACGUCCGUCUCGAGCACAACGGCCCGAACGGCACGACCGCGACAUGCGUCAACGUGAAAGCGGAGUACAGCGGGAUGCAGAACCCGCCGCCGUGCAAGGGUCCGGAUUCGGAGAACUAAGUUAAACACCCCUGCAGCAUGAGCAGCCCCUUAGCCUCCUCAAUAGUCACUUGUUAUAUUAUGCAUCAGAUAUGUUUCUGCACCCAUUUUGAAAUGAGGUGAUUCUUUUUAUUUUUUUCCUUUUUUUGUUAUAUAUAUUUAUGAGCACCAAACUUCAGGUUGUACCUGAGUGUUGUAACUGCAUUUCGGUCGUAGCAGCGGCUCUUGUUCUGCGUCGCUCUUCGUGAUCGAAUUGUAAAACUCGUUGAAAUAUAUACGUGUAAACCGAGAUUUUCAAAUCGAUAUCGAACUGAAUUGGUUUGUGCACUUUGAGUUUCUGGUUGUGUUUGUGUUCGACAAUCAGGCUAGUCAAUUACAAGUUGAGAAUUUUCUGAAACUUACAAAAUGGAAGCAACAAUUUCUCUCAAAUUCAUGUUUUUACACAAAUAAAUUUGCUCUCAAAAAAAUAGUAACAAUCAAUGCUUUGGAAUGACAUGAAUGGUGACUUAUUUACAACUUUUAUUCAGAGUAAAAUGAGACAUUAAUUAAUUCAUUAAUUGCUCAACCCCAGAAGUAACUUAUUAAAGUUAUAUAUAGUCAUCUAUGCUUGGUAGGAUAAGAAGCCAUUUUGUUUAUGCCACACAAACCCUCAGGUUUACCAGUGCUCCUCUUCAUCCUGAUGUACCCUCUCUCCCCCCAUCUUGGGCCCCAUGAGUUCUUCACUAUGAUGUAAUCCUGGUCCUUGGAUGAUCCGUAUCCGACGGCCGUCACGCCGUGAUCAAGGUUAGUCCCACAUGGUCCAUCAAAUACACCCUUGAUUAAUUGGCAUAAGAAAAAGUUAUUAUUAGGCAAAGCAAAAAUGUACCUUAGAGAACUAACAUGCAUGCAUUUUGAAUUAUUUUGAAAUUUUUGAUUUUACUGUCUAAUUUUUUCGAUGCAUAUAAUGCUUAACAAGCCAAAAAAUUGUAACUCAUUGGGUACUGUAGAUUGAACUAUAUAUCAGAUACAACAAAAGGCUAAUAAUUUACAAGAAUAAUCAGAUAACUUAAAUUACACAAAUUAAAAGACUAGAUAUUUAAAUUAUAACUUUUAAAAAUCACUUAAAAAUAUUUGCAAAUAAUUCAAAUUUCGAAUUAGUUAAUGACUUACUCCACUGUAAAAUUGGAAGUGCCUUCCUGAAGCCUCAAUACCAACACUAACAGGUUGGUGUGCUAAUGCCUUUAAGAGACUCUCCUCAUUGUUCUCUGGCACGUCUUCGUAGCCACUUAUAGUCACCACCUCAUGAUCACCCUUAAAAAUUAAAAAUAAAAACAAAUAAAAACAAUGCAUGUGUAUAUGUCACCCUCCGAGCCCACAGCGGAAACACUCACCUCUUCGUCAAAUCGAGUUGAGAUAACGAUCAUUUUAGUUUCGCGGACGUACAAAACUCUUUUUAAGGAGUGAGAGAUGUAAUGUACCAAAUUUUGGUAUGCUAUACUAAAUUUUGACCAAAUCGGAUGAAAUACGGUGGAGAGAUGAUUUAGACAUAUUUGAAAACAAGUUCCAAGCAUUUCGGAAACGAUUAGAAGUGAUGAAUUAGAACUCCAGGAAGUGAAAAUAGAAAUUUUUAGAAAAAUCAUUUAUGAGAUAUUCAACUCUCGGGAUCCGGACCUUGUAUUUCAUUUAGCAAAAUUCUCAAAUUCAAUUAAUUGUUAUGAUGUGAAUUUUUAGCUAUUUCAUAGUUUGUUCGGUGAUGAGUUUUAGUGAUAAUUUGGUACUCCGGCGAUAGAUUAUUUUUAGAGAUUGUUAGUGAAACACUCUAUUUUGGUGGUGCCCUAUAUACUUACUUUUAUUUUUUUUUCUUAAUAAAAGUCUAAGAGAGGUUUUUACCUACUCACAUUAUAUGCAUGUGAAUGAAACACAAUGUGAAUGUAACACAAUGCAUCAAAUAAAUGCAUAUACUCUUAUGGGGUACUUAAUUGGAUUUGCAUAAUUAUAAUUCAGUUGAAAAUAAAGUUAUGUAAAAGUAAAAAUAUUAGUCUUGCUAUUAACUAGCAUAAUGUCAGCUGAAUUAUGGAUAUUUCUGCGAAAGAUAAUUUGGAAUUUGUUCUCAUAUAUGCAAGAAUAUUUCUACUGAUGAUAAACUUGAUUUACGGUCGAAUCGCACUUUGUCGAUCGACACACCCCCCGUUACGUACCCUCAUUUCCUCGCAGGUGCCCUCUUCCAUGAGAUACGGGUAAUCGUCUUCGGUGUGCAGGCCGCCGCUGGCGACGAUGUACGAGAAGGCGUAGUCCAUCACCCCUCCGUUGCAGCCGUUGUUGUUCGGCCUGUCGCAGUCGAUUAGCUCUUGCUCCGACAGCGAUGUCAAGUUCCCCGUCACGAUUCGGUUUAUCCCUUCGACCGCCGCCACCGUCGAAAACGCCCAGCAACUUCCUGCAUGGAUCAAUUCGCUUCUAUUUGUUGCGCAUCAAACGAUCUAUCUAUACUUUCAAGUAUAUCACUAUCUACCGCGGACUCUUGUGAGAAAUUUGAAAAUAAAAUUAUUUACAGAGCUGAAUUUAUUAUUCAUAAUGUGUUUCUUAAAUUUGAUCAUCAUUCUAACUGAAUUCGAUCAAACUUUAAAGUAAGCAUUUGCGUCUGUGAUUUUUUAGCUGUCGAAUUGUCUUUAGAUCCGUACAGAACUAUAAGUGAUGUAUCUCAUCAAAUUUUAAUAGUACUGUAUGGAUCUCGAAGCGAUCUGAUGGCUAAAAAAAUUAUAAGCACGUUGAGCUUCUGUACUUUUAAAAGCACAUGAGCGCAACUCUCUCUCUAUGUGUUCUUACCACAAUUGCCUUGGUUCUUAACAUGCGUUACCGCGCCCUUCUUUCUCCAAUCCACCGAUUUCGGUAAGUCCACAACAUCCUUAUACCAAAAGGCGGAGUUUGCCGCACAUUUCCUCCUUGAUGCGUACUCGGCCCUCAGUCCAAAGUACUUCUCCUUGAACUCCUCAUGGCUCAAGUCUGCGAAUUCGUUGAGCCCUAGCCAAUAACUAGUCACCUUCUUGUUCGUCUCGUCGAUGUGCAUUAGAUUAUCCUUGAAGAUCUCGAAUCUGCGCAACUUUUCCUUAAAGCUCGAGUACGACUUGUCGUGCUUCUGCAUCCACGACUCGAAGAGGUCGAUGAGCUUGUCGUGGGAGCUCAGAUUGUCUUCAGCGUAGCCGAUGAUGGAGAAGCGAUCGUCCCUCGAUCCGAAGCGCGACGCAUGCCGCAAUCAGAAAGAAGAGAGGGAGAAGGGAGAAUUUCAUGUGAGAAAUGGCCAUGAUCAAUUUCUUUGGGUGUGCAAGAGAUGAGGUUCUUCUAGUACUUGUGUAUGUGUGAGAGGAGAGGUGUGGCAUUUAUAUGCAUGUAAAUUUGAGUCUCUUGUUGCUUACAAGCUAAGUUCUUGGUAGAUAAAUAGUUUAGUAAAGCUUAAAGGUUGGUUCAAUGAGGCUUUGCUUUUAAUCUACAAUAGGAUGUGGAAGAUAUAAACUAACUACUAACAGGUUGUUUUGUAGCCAAGUUUUAACAUGGAUGUAGAAAGCUUAAUGUUUCGCGUAUAGUCCGCAUUUAGUCCAAAGGUUCGAGUUCUCUAACACAUUUCGACCCUGUUUGGCCUAACUUCUGAAAGUAUAUUCGCACUUGCACAGUUGUGCCCGGCUAGUCCUAGAAGUCUCUCUUUCAACAUGAUUUGCUUGAAGAGUAAUGAUUUACGAAUAAUUACCAACCCUCCGGCCCAGCAUGGCCCCCCAGCCUGAAAGACACGAGCCACACCGGGCUUCGAGCUGGCCCCUUAAAGUUUUUAUUUUAUUUAUUUAUUUCUAUUUAAAUCUAUAUUUUAUUAUUUUGAUUAAAAAAAAGGUUGGGCCACGGAUUUUUGAAUUAUUCAUUGGUUAGGUCGGUGUUGGGCUGACUCUUGGGCCUGUAGAAACCGAGCCUGUUCGUAAAAUUAGUGGGCUAUGAAGUUUAGAAACUUUUUGGUUGCAUGAUAAAUAUAUAGACUCUUAUAUUAAAAAUAAAUACCCCCACAUCCUUGUUAAAAGCACAAGUAAUGGUAUAUAUUGAAGGGAUAAUUUCAUAGAUGCCCCUCUAGGAACUAUUAAUUUCAUCAAUACCCUUCCAAAAUUAAUAAUAUCACAAAUGCCCUCCAAAAUGUGAAAAAUUAUCAUAAAUACCCUCCUCUAGUUAAGAUCCCUUAAAGCCCAUUUGAAUCUGAGUUAAAUUUUUAAAAUACCAUUUUUACCCUUUAUCUCUUUUUAAUAGUAGAAAUACUAAUAGGUAUUUCAAAAUAAUUUUUGUAAAUCUAAAUUUGAGUAUUUAAUAUAUAAAUAGUAAAUUAAAUUAUUAAUAUAUAUUAAUUAAUAAAAAAUAUAUAAAAAUUGUAUUUUAAAUAUAGUAUGUUUUUAUCUGAUUUUGGUUUUGUUUUUGGUUUUGGGUUUCGGUUCAGAUUCGGUUUAAAUAUAGACCAAAACUGAAUUUACAUACGACGGGAUUUUAUUUUUUGGUACCUAUAACUAAAACUAUCCUUAUUCAGCAUUGAUUAAACUUAUCCCAUUUUAAAUCGAGUUUAGAUAAAAUUCCGUAUCUAUAUCAAUUCACAUUCCUAAUUAGUAAUAGUAAUUUUGAAAUAAAUUAUAGAUUUUAUUUUUUUCCUAUUUAAAAAUAAAUCACAUAAUUGUUUUGUCGAUUGAAAAAAAAGAGGGUUUUGUUCAAAAGCUAAAAUAUAUUAUAUUUCAGUUUUUUAAUACACUUAAUGCAGAUAAAAUUAUCGAGAAUAAUUUUGAUUAAAAAAUUUUUUAAGUUUUCAAGAUUAAAGAAAGAUCGGAUAAUUUCUUAACAUUAUUUUCAUUUAAAUUUUUAUAUAUAGUUAUUUAUUUGAUGAAAAAUAAAUAGAGCCAUUAGAUUUGGUAAAAUCAUCAAAAAAACCUAAAAAAUUCUUUUUUUUUUAUACACUGAAAUUAGAUUUUUUUUAAAAUAAAAAGUUAAUGGGAUAUCAACUAAAAAAUGAAAGUUGAGGGAGCUGUUUCAAAAUGGCAUAUAGUUGAGAGGGUUUCCAUACAUUUUUAGUUAAAAAAUAUUUGAGGGUAAAUAAGUCAUUUUAAAAAUUAACCAAUCUUUAACCAUGUAAUAACUAUAGUAAAACUAACAUAACUAACAGUAGGGGUAUUAAUGAUAAUUUUUUGUUUUUACAGGGGUAUUGGUGAUAUUUUAAACUUUAUAGGGGCAUGUAUGAUAUUUUAAAUUUUGGGAGGGGUAUCCAUGAAAUUGCCCCGUUAAAUUGCUGGAUGGCAAGCAAAUAUUGGUUAGGGAUUGCUUUGGAAGCGAUGACUGGAACUGGAAUAGGAUCCUGGGCAAUAAAUCUUCUGUUCUGCCAAGCCUGAGCCCCAUCCUAUUGGAACUCAAAGAGAGAGUCAAUAGAUUUAAUAUCAGGCAUAUGGAGGACAGGAUAGGUUGGAGAUGGGGCAACAAUAGUAUAUUCUCAGUCAAUUCGGCCUAUCGAAUGUUGAACGAUAGGGGUACGAAAGACGGACGGGGUAACUUGAUUUGGAGAUUAAAAAUACCACUCAAGAUUAAGGUGUUCUGUUGGCCGGUUCUUAAGAAAAGGACACCUACGGUUGACAACCUCAGUAAGAAAGGUUGGUCUGGUGGUACGACCUGCUCAUUGUGUAGGGUCUAUGACGAGUCGGUGGACCAUUUGUUCACCUAAUGCGUCUUUGUCAAGUUUAUCAUGGUUGCGGGAUUGGAGGACGUUCAGUUGGGAGAGUCGGGUGACGAUGUACUUGUAGUCUGGGAUAGGUGGAAGGAAAAACUUGGGGGUCAAAGAAGGAAGAACGGUCUAGCUGAUUUGGCGGCUUGCUGGUGGACUAUCUGGAAGGCUAGAAAUAACCUAAUCUUCCGUGACAUACAGCUAGACCCUCUAGUAGUAGUGCGAAGGCCCAGGCAGCUCAUUGAUUCUUGGAGAGACCUUCUGUAACUUUUUUUUUUUUUUUUUAGGACUAGUUUUUUCUGAUGUGGUUUUUUCUUUUUCCUUGAGGCCCUGGUUGCCUCACUCCUGUAGCCUAAUUCAUACUUUUAAUGAAUGAAACAGGUAGUGUGCUACCUAUUCUCUCAAAAAAAUAUAUGGUAUAUAUUGCAUUUUUUUAAAAAAUAUAUUUUCUACUAAGUUUCAAAUUUACUAAUAAUACAUUUAUGGUGCAUAUGUACUCAUCAAGCAUACCACAAAUUAAAAUAAAGACACUUCCAUUAUUAUUCUAUUAUCAUGAGUCAAUGAAAUUAAGGAGAGAAUUAAUACAGGUCAUCACAUAAAGCAUUUUCAUUUUUUUAAAAAAUAAGCUGUUAGAAAAUAAUAUCUUAAUAUUUUUAUAAUCAAUAUUUUUCUUUACAUUCAAGCAGGAAACUUUUGAUAGAUUCAAAACACGAGUUUAAAAUAAACAAAAGAAAAUUAAAUAUGACUACACCCUGAUUGUAAAUAAAAUAACUAUUUUUUAUUGUAAAAAACUUAAAUUACUAAAAAGUAGAAUUUGAUAUUUUAAUUAAUAUCUUAAAUGCAUUAGGGAACAAAGUUCAGAUGAUGUGGUAAAAUCAUGAGAUAUACCAACCAUUCAAGCAAAUAAUUGAGCACACAAAUUAAAGAUCGGUAAAAAUGUAUAUAUAUAAAAGUUCAUCUCAACUAUGAACCAUUUGGAUCCCACUACCUAACCUUUAAAAACUUUAAUUUUACAAUUUAAUUUUUAAAUUUGUUUAAUUUGAGUUAAUUAGUGAUUUUUUUAACUUCAAAAUUUAAAUACACCGAAUUUCGUCAGCAUAUUUUUAUGCAAUUUACAUGGCUACAAAUUUAUUAAAGUAAGCAAUUGGCUUAAAUUUUUUAUCAAAAAGCCAUCAAAUUACUUAAAACAAGUAAAUUGAAAGGUCGAGAACUAAAAUCAAAAUUUUGAGAGGUUAGAUAUAGUCAAAUCAAAGUGGUAUAUAUUUCAAAUAAUUUCUAUUACCUUAAAAUUAUAUAUUCUAAUUCGAAUUACCAAAAAGAGCUUGUAACUAUAUAUAUACAUAUUAAUGAGUUACUUACUAAUGCUUUUCCAUUGCAAUAUUUAUAAAUGCAUAUUGAUGAUGAUUUGGUUUCUCCCUGAUAAGAAUCUAUUUCAUGUAAUAAUAAUUAAAGAUUCAGAUUAAGCAAGGCCUCUUUUCAAUUUUAUUAUUAUUAUUUUUUUUUUUCUAAAGAUUCAUUUGUAGGGAUUAUAGUGAGCAAAGGCAUUGCCUAAUUGGCAAGUCAACAGCUAAAUAAGAAGCAAUUAAAUGUGGAAAGAGAGAGAGAAUAAAUUAAUAAUACUUGUUCCCUGCAAAUUGCAAUAGGCGACAAAUAUAAUUAAAAAAGUAUGAGUGGGCUUUGGGGGUUGGGAGCAUAUUAAAUGCAAAAAUGCUCUUGUUCCAAAGAUUGUUGAAAGGGGGGCUUUUUUUGCAUUUAAUUUGCAAAAAUAAUUCUAAACUUGCCACGCAGGCGCCACGUUAGCACCAUGCGGGCGGGGCUGGGGGCGUUAGUUAAGUUAAACAUGGUGUACGUAUUUUUUGUAUAUUGAGAAGAGGAAUAAGGAAUUUGUAUUUCUUUUCUUCUCUUUUUCAAAAAUCCGAACCUGAACCCGAAAAUCAAAUCCAAAUCUAAACCCGGAUCCAAACCCGACGGAUUUUAAAAAUUCAUAUCCAUAUCCAUAUCCAACCAAAAAUUUGAAAUCCGAACCUGAACCCAGUGGGUUUUAAAAAUCUAUACCGUUGGAUGAAGAUCUAAGAAAUAAAAAUUAUUAAAUAUUUUAUAUAUUGUAUAAAUAAAUAAAAAUAAAUUAUGUGUAUAUAUAUAUAUAUAUAUAUAGAACUAGGCUAAUAUACUAUUACUAGCACCAAGUCAUUGGUGCUACCAAGUUUUUGGCCAUUGGAUUAAAAGAUGUGCGGUAGGAUGAUGUGGGUCCCCUAGGGUUGAGUGGGUGGUUGGUUGAAUAGUAUGAUCUAACGGGUGAAAAUGAUCAAAAGGGUAGAUCUAACGCCGGAAAACUUGGUAGCACCAAGUGUUUCGUGCUAUUAAUAGCAUAGUAGCCGGACUCUAUAUAUAUAUAUAUAUAUAUAUAUAUAUAAUAUUCGGGUUUGGAUUCGGAUAAUAUUUCGGAUAUCCAUAUCUAUUGGCAUCCCUACUCCCUAUUCCUCUUUUCAAUAAAAAUAAAAAUACGUAUUAAACACGGUAAACCAUUCACCGUGUUUGAACAUUUACCGUAUUUGAACACGGUGAAUGGUUCACCGUGUUCAACUUAACACACGUUCCCGGCUCUGCCUGCGUGGCAAGCCCAGGACCAUUUUUGCAAAUUAAAUUUUAACAGGGCUAAUUUUAAAAUAAAAAUUUGCCAGGGGUCUAAAUGCAAAAAAAGCCCUUAAAAAGGAUAUGGCUUCAAGAGGAGAGAUAAUUUUUAUAUCAAUUAACAAGAGCGGUACAGUCCCUUUGCAAUUCCCAUAUUUCAACUUGAUUCCUAGAAAAAUUAUUUUCUGGCUUUUUUUUUUCAGUCUAUUUGAUUUGUAAAAAAAAAUAAUAAGUUUUUUAUUUUUUUUUUCAAAUUUUAUGAAGUUUUUUUCAAAAUUUUUAUCAAAAAAAUAAGAAUCAUAAAAGUUGUGUUUUUCGUGAUUUUUUUUUCCCAAAACAGGUUAUCACCAUUUUUGGCGGGAAAAAAAUGACCCUAAAUUCCUAUAAUUGUCACUAGAGUAUUUUAAUUUAAAAUUUGAAGUAUAUAUUGCUCUUUAGCUUAUGAGUAUAAUGUUAAAGUUUGAGAACCAAAGUGCAAUUGACAACAUAUAUAGUUUGAGCACCAAACGCACAAAUUACCUUUUUUGUUUCAAUCAAUUAAAACAAAACAAUUUUUUUUUUGUUUUUGCGUAAAACACUAGAAGAUAAAUUAAUCCUCCAAAGAUAACUGUAUAGAGCACCACCAAAUAGAUUUGUUUCACCAACAAUCUCUUAAAAUAAUAUGUUUUAGAUUUGAAGGAAGUUUUCAAAUGCAGGUUGAGUUACGGGCUGGGGGACGGUAUUCUCAUCAAUUUUUGGGCCGACGGAUGAUGUGGGGACGCGUCCCUAAAGUCAUACUUUCUAGAAAUCUAUUCUCAGGUUCAUCGCAUGGAGGUGCGGGUUAGUGACUGUUUUUUUACCUCGGGAUGGAGAUGGAGAUUGAUUCUGAGAGGAAUGAGAAGAAACACACAGCACUGUAAACAACGGAUUUCGAAGUUGAAGAACAUCCUUUCUAUCUUACGGACUACAAAUCAACCAGAUGUCAUUCUUUAGAGAUGGAAUUCUGGGAAUAUAUUUACAGUCAAAUCAAUAUAUUCGUUCAUUAGGACAGGGGGAUCAAAAAUAACGCAACGCCCACCAUCUAGAGACUGAAAAUUCCGACAAAAGUCAAAAUCUUUCUCUGAUUGGUACUAAAAUAGAGAUUGCCUAUUGUGGACAACCUUCUUAAAAAGGGAUGGGCAGGUAGCAGUGAAUGCGUCAUGUGUGGCGCAACUUCGGAAAGCGUAGAACACUUGUUGGUGAGAUGCGUGGUUAGCAAGUUCCCUUUUAUUUCUAUCCUUGACGAGUCUUACAUCUACCCCUCUAGUGCGGAUGUCAUUUCUGUUUGGGAUGAGCUGCCUGGGAGGGGGUCAGCGUCUAACACUCCGAAGCCUCAGAUACUUGUGGCGGCCCUGUGGUGGACGUUCUGGUGCGAGAGAAAUAACGUCAUUUUUCGAAACCUUACCUUGAAUGCUACCUCUGUGGCACAUUGUAUUAGUGCACUAGCGAAGGAGUGGACUGAUUUUUGUAGAAGUAGGUGAGGCCAUUUAUUUUGUUAGACUACAUGCCCUUUUUAGCUCUUUUCAGAUAUUUUUAGAGUUCCUCUUUCUUUAGUUUUGUCACUCCUUGAGGCUCUAACUGCCUCACCCUUUGUAGCUAAAUUCAUUUAUCUAAUGAAUGAAGCAGGUAGCGUGCUACUUUUCUCUAAAAAAAAAAAAUUGUUGCUAAAUUAGCUGUUAGCACUAAAAUCCGUCACCAAACAAACUAAACAAGUAGCUAUAAUAUAGACUAGUAUAGACUUUUAGGAAAAUGAACAAACAAAACAGCAAUCAAAAAAGAAUCAAAAACUGUUGAAAUGCAUCAAUAUUGAAGAUGCACAUAAUUAAAUGCCAUGAUCUCAUGAUCAUAAAAACACCCUUGGAGUCAUCUCAAGGUCCUCCUCAUCCUUAGUUUUUUUUUCCUGUCUCUUUCCUAUUCUUCAAUUCAAUCCCUGCAAUAUAUAUUUAUAUAUGUAUAUAUUUAACACCCACAGCUGUAUCCUUUUAAGCUAUACUUUGCUUCAUUAUACACAUUAACAAAAAAAGCUCAUUAUAGUUUAUUUAUUAUACUCUGAUUUUGCACUAUUUGUAUGGAUUUUUGUGGAAGACCCCUACGUGUUAUGUAUUAAAAGAGAAAAGAUAGGAAAAAAGAUGGAGUUGUUGGACUCAAGUACUUGUUUGAUGUACUUGUGAGCUGUUUAAUCCAAUUGACCAAAAAAAAGUAAUAUCUUUAAUAAAAUAAAAAGAAUAAUUUUUUUGUACAAUUUUGCAUUAUAAAUAACACAUCUUUCCGGCAAUCCCAAUUAGAGUUAAUUAAGGAAUUUUAGAGUUUCCUGCAUUAAUUUUACCAUAUGAGUAAUUUGUUUAAUAAUUAUAUUAUUAUAAAACAAAUUUACUAAAUAUUAUUUUGUCGCGUUACUAACUGAUAAAUACAGAGGGUAUAUACAAUUAUUAACUUUGAAAAAUAUUAUUAUAUUUAAAAAUAUCUAGCUUUAAUUCCAUAAAAGAUUAUUAAUUAGAAAAGUGAAUUGAAUCACACAAUGAGCUCACCUGUAUAAAUCAUGCAAUUAAACUAUGAUUAUCCUCCCCUACCAAGAAAGUAAAAAAGAUAGAGAUCCUUAUCUUUUGUCAUUUAUCCUUCUUAAAUAUAUAUCUUAACUUAGAUAUCUUGAAUUAAUCAAUGUUGUAAAAUAAAAAUAUUCUAAUCUUUAGUUACUAUAUAUUUAAAACUUAGUUUUACUUAUCUUUAUAACUAGCUUGCAUCCCUUAUCAAUAACUUUUUAUAAUAAAAAUAUAGUUUUUAGAUUAUAAAAUCCAAUCAAGCCUUUGGCAUGAGUAUUUGCAAUUUGCAUGCAUAGUUAAAUUGCUAUUUAAUUAGCUUACCAGAUAAUUAAUAUCAAUUAAUCAAACUCAUCACUCCUCUCGAUCUUAUAUUCCAUGAAUACAAUUGUCACCCUCCAUAUAUAGGUGUUCUCCUUUGCUUCUGCGAAGCAGUGCUGCAAAUCUCUACGGCUAGCUCAGAAUUACCAUAAGAUUUAUAUCAUAAUCUUUCCAAAAUUAGGAUUUACUCAUUUGUCUUAUUACCUUUUUAAUAGUGACUUCUUAAAAAAUAAUUUAAACAUUUGAAUUAUAAACUAUAAGAUGUAUAUCUUAUAAUGAAUAUACUAAUAAUAUUUCUUGAGAAAAUAUUCAAUCCUUCACAAGCUAUAGCCAUCUCACCUAUCCUCUACUAUAUAUGAUAUCACAUCACCCUUACUCAUAGGCGUCUUUGGUUCACGUUAUAUAGUAUUAAUGUUAUUUCAACAUAACUAGGCAUCUGAGAUUUCUAAAUCAGAUUACUACUAAUGUUAUAUUACUGUGUUUGAUUUCAUGUAAUAAUAAUAUAAUACUAAAUUACAGUGUAUAUAAAAUUACUAUGCAUAUUUGAUUUAAUUUAUAAAAUUCAGUAAUUUUGAUAAUAAAAUAUAAAAUAUUUUAAAAUUGCCCUUAUUACUCAUAUGCUAGCUAAUUCAAAGAAUAAAGUCAAACGAAUACCAUUAUGCCCUUUGGCCAAUGCUAAGGGGCACAACAAACAUUGACUAGUCCAAUAUAUAUAUNUAUAUAUAUUGUCAUUUAUAUUUAAUCAAAAAAAGGUACAUAAUAAGUUAAAAUAUAGAAAAUUUUUCUAUAAAUAUUGAUUUUUUAAUCUUUUCUUUUUGACUUUUCAAAAAAAGAAGUUACCCUUGGUUGUUUCAGUAGAUGCUUGUGAACACAUUUUUUUCUUUAUGGAAUAAGUAAAUGCAAUUUGGUAAUUUUGCCCUCUUUAUUGACACCGUAAUUUUCUGAAAAUAUUUUUUAAAUUUUAAGAAGAUAAAAUAUAAAUUUUAAAGUCAAGAGGGGAAGUGAAAAAACCGAUAUUUAUAGGGGAGGAGAAAAUUAAACCUCCACUUAGCUUGAAGAUUUACUUACAUGCAUUUGACAACAAAAGCUCACUUUAGAUCUAAUUAUCUAGGAAUUAGUAAUUGAAGGACUAAAAAGAUUUAUUGAAGCUUUUGUUGAAUAUAAAAUAUUAAUAUAACCAUUUUUCUGUUAGCUUAAAUUUUUAGAAAUUUCAAACGACAUCAGAAUAAGGGUUCUCAUAGUUCGAGUCCUAUCAGGCUUCUUCUUUCUUUAAUUGUGAGUAAAGUACACUUUUGGUUCUCAAACUAUUAGGCGAUGACACUUUAGUUCUCAAAUUUUGAUUUGUAGCAAUUUCUCACUCAAACAUUCAGAAUUAUUGUAAUCAAGUCUCACAACCUAAUUUAGCUCGUGUGAAAGUAUUGUAACUGAUGAUGUGACAAUAAUUAAAAUGUUAUAUUACUUUUGAAGUACUAUUUGAGUAUCAUGGUUUAAUCAAUCCUAACUAAUUUUUUCGUUAUUAAAACUGUUAAUAGCUUCUUAUUAGAACAAGAAACAAAACUACUGUACUAUUGUACCUUUUGCUACUAAGUUCUUUUUUUUCUCUUUUUUUUUAGUUUAUUGUUCAAACUAUUAGCAUGUACCUCAUAUUUGCCAAGCAUCUAGCUUUUGCUUUCUCAAGUAGAAAAUCAGGCCCGAUAUUUCGCGCUAAACGUAAACUUAAGUAACACUUUGCAAUCUUAGGGAAAUUAAAUAAACAUUGAUCAAGUGUAAUUAAUGUUGACAAAAUUUUUGGUAGGGCCUUCAUAGAGUUAUGUCUCAUCUAUUUAGGUUGUCCAUUGUAGGCCAUAUAUUUAAUUUACUAAUUCCCAAUUAAAAUUUGUUACAUUUUUCUUGGAAAGCUAUGGGCACCUAAAAUUUUGGAGCUGCAACAUUUAUAUAUACCACUAAGUGACAUGUGUCCAGCAAGCAAGAAUCUUCGGAUGAAAAAAUAAUUUUAUAAAUAAAUAAAAAUUAAAAGCUUUUACUUUAGUGUGAGCAUUUACUAUUUGAAGAUUUGCCCUAGAUUUUUUAUAUUAAAUUUUUUGCUGUAAGGAAAAUUUAUCAUCGCAAAUGCGACUUAUUGAAAGGCAGCUUUUUAUAGCUCAGAAUAUAUUUUGCUACUAUAAGUUAAAAAUAUAUACCACCAAAAUAAAAUAAAAUAAAAUAAAAACACAACAUAUGACGUGUUAAAAUCGUCAGUUUUGAGAUAUUUUGAUUCUUUAGGCGAAUGACACUCAAAAUUAUAAAAUUUAUAUGCCCUAUCACUAAAACUAAAUAGUUCAUUAGUUCUUCUAUUUCUUCGUUUAAAGUUCUAAUAAAGAAAAAUGUAAGUUUCCUGAAUGGUCCUCAACCCAUUUUGCGAGGUUGUAAUCAAUUCUAAUCUUAAUUUUUUUUUUUAACGUACAAUAAUAUAAGCACAGAAAGUCGGAUGGCAUAAAAACAGUCGAUCUGGCAGAACUUUUUCCUUGUUCUGCGUAGUGAAACUGAGGAUGCCACAUUAUCUUUCUGUUAGGAUCGAACUUACAAUCUAAAAACUAAAAAACAAUAAAUUAAAAUAUGAGAAUUUUGAUGCAACCAAAUUUGAAACACAUUAAUGGUCUAAUCCAACCCUCAAAACAAUUCCUUUCUAGAUUUGGUUGUUCAAUUCCAUUACUCCACCUACCAUUCUUUCACACAUGUGAGAGAGGGGUGGCUACACUUACCUCCCAUUUUUUCUUGGGUUAACCAGAAGAAGUUAAUUACAUAAGUUUCAAACCCUAAUUUUGAUCAAUAAUCAGAAUCAGUUUGAUCUUUUCUCCCACCUUCAGAAUAAUGAAGCAUAGGUAUCACCGCAAUAUCGUUAGAAUUUUCUGAAAGGUAACUAUCUCGGUUUCAUAUAUGGAAUUCAUAUAGAAUCUUUGAACAAGACUUUUUGGAAGGAAAAAAAAAAAAAGAAAAAAGAGUGCAACCUAUAUACUAUAUUCUAUGGAUAAAGGAUCAAAUUGAUAGAGAAAGCAACGUAAAGAUCAAGUCUUUUUCACCUCUAAGUGAUGUUGCUUCCUCUACUAUACCUUUUCCUUUUUCUUCUGCUCUAUUCCUUUCUUUUUUUACUUUCCAAGGGUCCAAAACUCAUUGGGGAACACUUUAAAAAAAUAGCAACUAUAUGUAACACUUUAUAUUGGUGGAAAUAACAUAUGAAAAAUACUGGGAUGACAACCGACUUUGAACGGUAAUUCUAUGACUUUCGCAUCCAAAUUAAUUAAGGUCAUUUUCUUUCUGCAACACUUGUCAUUUUUUUUAGGGAAAACUUCAAAAACCCCCCCUGUGGUUUCUUGCUUUCUCACUUUAGUACCCUGUGGUUUAAAACGUAUCAAUUUGCCCUCCUGUGGUUUCGUUUUUCUCUUUUUGUUAUCAAUUUUAUUAUUAUUUGUUUCUUAAAUCAGUGACAAAGUUAAAAUUAAAGGAUACUAAAGUGAAUAUUCGAUAAAUAUAGAUGGUUAUCUGAAGUUUUUUGUAUAUAAUUUAACGAAAUGUUAACGAAAAAGCUUCCGAAAAGAUAAAAAUGAAACCACAGGGGGNAUAUAUAUAUAUAUAUAUAUAUAUAUAUAUAUAUAUAUAUAUGGAUGUAUAUCUUUUUGGAUCCAUCUAGGAUCUAAGUUGGGUUGGUGUGAAAUGAGGUUUGUACUCAUAUGGAGAAUAAAUGAUGUAGUGGCGGUGCAUGGUGCAACUUUUAAUUCUUUUUGUUGCUUCUUUCCAACCUUGGAUGCAAUAUAUUCUCUUUGCCUAAUUAGUUUCUUCCUAGGAAUUAAAUUUCAAAAAAGAAAAAAAAAAAGAAGCACUUCCUAGAGAAGAUCAAAGAUGAUUAUUUUGUAGAGGUUUGAACAUCUGAGGAGAUUCGAGUUGUAGAUAGCUUAAUAUUGGGUGGCAUCUAUUUAGUAUUCAUCUUAAUAUAAUAUAUUGUCACAAAAUAAUAGUCAAACAAUACCCUUUAUCUUUACUCUAACUUAUCUUUUUGGGGCUACUUAGGACUGGAUCAUAAAUUGUUAUUCUUCUUGUUCAAUAUUUUAGCAAUCAUAGAUUUUCUUUUUUUCAUCAAUCUUGUGUCCCUUUUCUUUCUUUUUUUAAAGAUUAUUUUUGAAUAAUUUUCCAUCAGAUAAAUAUUUUUUCAUAUGAUAUCACGCUAGUUAUCUAGUUUUUAUCGUCCACGUAUUUUCUAUCAAAUUGAUCUGCUGUGUAAUACUUUUGUAACUUGUGUGAAUCGAUACAUGCAGUACUGUACGCCGGAGAGGACACGAUAACGGUGACAUGGUCGCUGGACCGGACGGCAGUGCCGGCCGGCGGCGACGCUGCCUACGAGAAGGUGAAGGUGCUGCUGUGCUACGCUCCGGUGAGCCAGAAGGACCGCGGGUGGCGCAAGACCGACGACCUGCUGAAGAAGGACAAGACCUGCCAGUUCACCGUCGUCGAGCAACCUUACAGCGGCGCCACUGCGAGCGCCAACGUCACAUACAGAAUCAAGCGCGACGUGCCGACCGCCACCUACUUCGUGCGUGCCUACGCGCUCGACGGCUCCGACACGCAGGUCGCCUACGGCCAGACCACCGACGCCAAGAAGACCGCCAACCUAUUCGACAUCGUCGCCAUCACGGGCCGCCACGCCUCGCUCGACAUCGCCGCGGGGUGCUUCUCCGCCUUCUCCAUCGCCGUCCUCAUCUUCUUCUUCUUCAUCGAGAAGAGGAAGGUCAAGAAGUAGACCGGGGUCGAAAUCAGACCAGUCUUUUCAGAUGCACCUCGAUUUUCUCUACUUCUAACGGCAGAAAAGGAUGUGUCUGAAAAUACUAGUAUGAUGUGAUGGUGAAGAAUGAUUAAUCAUUCUCUUACUCAUUACCAAUCAUGUGUUGUUUGUUGUGUUAUUAUUGUAAUGAGGAGGGGGAGUUUGGUUUCUAAUGUUGUUCUAUUAUACAUCCAAUACGUGUUCUUAUCAGUGUUUUCCACUGUUGAGGGGUGUAAAAGGUGUUUAGAAUGACUAAAUUAAAGAGUUGUACACGCACUCGAUCGUUUACAUAUCUUUAAUAUGUUGAUGAUUUAAUUCUACUUAUUAUAACCGAAUUAUAUGUAUAUAUAAAUUAAUAGAAUUUCAUAAAUAAUUUUUGGAAUGAACAAAAAUUUGAAGUUUUUUGAACUAUAUACGCUUAAUAAGUGUACAAAUGGAAUAUUACUAUUUCACUUGUUAUGCCACGUGUGAUAACAAGUGGUAGCUACAAGUCGUGCCAAGUGUCAAAACAUGCAUCUUUGCAAAAAAAGUCAAAGUUCUUAAUUUGUGUAUGUUUUACAAAAGUCUCUCUCUUUCUUCGCUUAUUAUCCAUAUUUAUGCAUAAGCUAUUUAUUUAUGUAAGCAAAACUAGGAUGCUUACAAAAGCAAAAUAAAAUGUUUACUUUCAUAUUGUUUACGGUAAUAAAGCAACUGCAUUCACCGACCGACCCUAGAGCAAGUGGCAAAGCGCUUGAUGGUCGGUACGCAAGACCCAAGUUCGAAUCCUAUUGAUUCAUAUUACCAGCUAAAUUUAUUUCUAAACAAAAUAAACGAAGCAGGUAGUGUGCUACCUAUCUCUCUCUCUCUCAAAAAAAAAAAAAAAAAAAAAAAAAAAAAAAAAACAUUGGAGACUCCCUCAACUAUAGGCCAUUUUGAAAAAGAGAGCCCAGAUCACUUUGACACCUAAAUAAACUUCUAAUUUAUUUUUAAUUAAAGUUAAAUUACUUUGGUUGGUUAAAUCAAAAGAAAAUUGUUAGAUUUAAGAACUCUAUUAGCUAUUAAUUACCUACUGGUUAUUCCAAUUUUGUUUGUAGAAAAAGAAUUAAAAGAAAUAAGUUUGAUAAAAUCGUUAUUUUAAUUGACUAAAGGCAAAUUCAAAAUGGUCAAUACGUAGUUGAUGGGGCUUAGCACAUUUUCACCUAUUGUUUACUUUUUGUGCCACCCAUGGCCUUUGGUUAUAAUAGGGAAUUCACAUUUUAGGAGUGGUGACUAAGUAAAGGAUCUAGUUGAUAUCAUCAUCCUUGUAGUGUAGCUUUAGAGUGCGAGAGAAAAGAGGAGAGAUAGAGAGAGAGUGCAACUACAAUAUAUAUUAGAGACCCAUCUCCAAAGUUUUCAUUGUUUCAUCUCUCUCUCUCUCUCUCUCUCUCUCUCUCUCUCUCUCUCUCUCUCUAUUUGCACUCCAACAAGUCCAAAGAUAUAUAUACAUAUACAUAAAAGAAAAAAUUUGUAUAUUGUGAGGAGAUGUUGAGCCAAGCAAGAGUGGGAUUAUUAUGGGAGGAGCUCUUGAUCAUCAUGGGCCUACUUGGGGUGCAAUGUGUCUUUGGGGUGUACAUGGUGUUCUUGAACCAAAUCCUCGCCCUCGGCGUCGACCCCUUGUUCAUCAUCGCCUUCGGGGGCCUCGCUUCUGCUGUCACCCUCCUCCCCCUCGCCGCCGUCUUCGAGAAGUAUAUACACAUAUAUAUACAUAUAUACACAUAAAUAUACAUAUAUAUAUAUAUAUAUAUACAUGUCUUCUUCUUCUUCUUCUUGGUUUCUCUUGAGCAUUGAGAGGUGAUCAUGUGUGUGUGGUGUGUUUGAGUUGAUCAUCACUAUUUUCAUGCAUGUGCAGGAAGAAAUGGCCUGCAAAGUUGAGCCCAACUCUGAUGGCUAAGUUUGUGAUGUUGGCUUUAGGAGGGUAAGAAAGCAACUUUUACUUUUACUUUGCUUUGCUCUUACUCUUUCAAANCUCUCAAAAAAAAAAAAAACAUCUGCAUUCACGAUCCAUACUAUUAAAUAUUAUUCAAAUUAUAAUUAAUUUAAAAUUUAAAUUUAAAUUUUAUUCGAAUGUCGAAAUAAAUUAUUCAAGAAUAAUUUAUUCCAUUUGAAAAUUUUCUAGUAUGAUUAUUUAUAAAGAGUUUGAUUUUUGAAGAAUUUUUCUAUUCAUAAUUUGAUAGAAUAAUAUAUUUUUAUCUACAAGAUUAUCUAUCUUAUUUUGAAAAAAUAACUUGAAGACUGUAUAUGGUAUUCCAUUAUAGUUAUUUGACCAUACUCCUUAACAAUCGAUUGUACAAAUUUCUUAAAUAAGUUAAUAAGAUAUACCGAGUAAGAUAUUCACGCAUUUCAAAUAAGACCUCAAAAGAUUUAAUUGACCUCUAGAAUUUUAUAAAUAGCAAUGCUACCGAUACAUUCAAAAAUGAGAAAAAACUCAAAAUUUAUUUUUUUGCAGUAGUCUUAUCAUUUUUUAUUUUUUUAAUGCUAAAAAUUCAAGUAAGUUUGUGUAAUUCUUGGACAGUAAAUUUAUAUAAGAUUUACACACAUAAAACUCGGUGUAUAAGUAGCAUUUUUUUUUUUUUUCUGAAAUAAAACAGGCAUAGGAGUAGCAGCAAACAGAGACAACAAGCAUUAAGUAGGGCUCGAUCAACUCUAACAAUUUGGUAUAAAAGCUACAGUUAAGAUCGGGAGAUCCUACCAGUAAAACCAGUGACAUGAUCAGAACGAAAAUACACAAAAAGCAUCACCAUCCAUAGAAGAUGACGAACAACAAUCUAUUUACAGCAGCAGCACUACUGAAUGAUGAACAGCCAAUUUUGAUGUCGAUCCCAGAUGGUUUCCUGAAUUUUCAAUCUGCCGAGAUAACGUCAUAUCUUCAGAUGGCAAAACAAGAUUUACCAAAUAUUACGAAUUUCGACGUUGAGGAGAAGAUCAGUUUCGCGAACUGGACUGACGAACUGAGUCUGCACAAGUUCAUUCACCAAUCACUGUCAUAUUUGAAGUGUAGUAGUAAAGCAAUUAGAAUUCCUGUAACUUCAUCUUUGCCUGCUAGAAAAGCCCACUUAUCGACAAACUCGAAAUUACGGAGGGAUUAAGAGUAAGUGCCAAUUUAUCUGAACUCAUACAACUUCGCCUUUACCGUUGUUCUCCGCGAAGACCUCCGUUAAACAGGGGUAUCAAAGUAUUAAGUUUUACAAACCACACGGUAGCAAAGUGUAAAUCGCGUGACGGUAAAAUGCCACCAUGAUUGCGAUCAUUUUACCGUCAUGCGGUCGUCUACAACAUGUAGAAUUUUCGCUGCGCUAUUGAAUAUUUACGUAAUUUAUAUGCAUAGCUCAAUAUCAAGGUUCGGCGAGGCUCUCGCGAGACUCAGCAACCUGUUCCUCGAGCCUAGUAGUGCUUCAGGAGAACUGCAUUUGAUCAGCACUUUCUGCAGCACGCCUUUCCAAGACUGCCGUGCAGAAAUCCCUCGAUGGUCACACUCUUCAAAUCAAGGAUUAAGUGCUCAUCAGCACAGACCGUAUCCACGGUGCUGUAUCACGCCAACGAGAUAUAGGCAUGAUACAAUUUCCGUACCGAUUGCACGGUUCAAAAUUCUCUAUUCUUUAAAUUAGUAAGUAAUUUUUUCAAUAAAAUUUGAAAGAUUUGAUAAAAUUUAUAAUAAACAAUUAGAAUAUUUUGUUGCUAAAAAAAAAGUAGAUAUUUUAUGUCACUAUAUGUCGGUACACAUAUAAACACGCAUCGACAUAACUCAGCACGCACUGUACCGUACCAUGCCAGGGAAAAGAUAUGUUGCUUCCCUGCAAAGAUAUGUUGCUACCUCCAGAUGCUUUAGAUAGAUCAAACCUUGAUAAGAAUUCAUCUAAACUUUGUCUUGUAAUACAUCAUCUGCGAUGUAGAAGAAAUCGGAAUGGGUGGAAUUAGUAAACCAGCUCGCCAGCAUGAACGAGGGAUUAGAUAUCAAAUGUUCUGACAACAUAACAGUACAGCACAGAGUUUCAUUGUGGUGGUUUGUAAUGUUCUACUCACUGAAAUUUAUUCUUUGUUAGGUUCGAAUUUGUUGGAUUACUGUUUCAGCAAAUAAAACCUAAAAGGAAAAAGAAAGAAAACUGAUGCGAGAAUUGAACAUAUUCAACACUACCCUUCUCGUCUCAGCUCGUCAUAUUUUGGAUGAUAUUUUGAUGGACCCAAAAUAAAAAUUUAAAUUAAAUAAAAUUAAAAAUAAUAAUGUUAGGAGUAACAUUGGAAAGAGUGAAAAGUGAGAUGGGAUAUGGGAAUUGGGAGGGAGGAAGACGAAACUUUUUUUUUUUUUCCUUAGUUGAAAAUAUGAAUAAACUAGGAUUCGAAUUUAGAACCUCGGGUACCAACCACCAAGUCCUUUACCACUUGUGCUAGGAACAAUUGGUUUUUUUUUUUUUUGGGGGGGGGGGGUAAACUUCGAAUACUAUUUCUGUGGUUUCGUACUUUCUCAUUUUAGUAUCAUGUGAUUUAAAAUGUAUCAAUUUAGUACCCUAUGAUUUUUUUUUUUGUCAGCUUUUUUUUUUCAUUAAAUUAGUGACAAAAUUAAAAGUAAAGGUAUUAAAGUGAAUAUUCGAUAAAUCUAAAUGGGUAUCUGAAUUUUUAUGUAUAUAAUUCAACGAAAUGUUAACGAAAGAGCUAACAAAAAUAAAAAAAUAAAACUACAUGGUACUAAAUUAAUACACUUCAAAUCGUAUGGUACUAAAGUAAGCAAGUACGAUACCACAGAGAUGGUAUUUGAAGUUUACCUUUUUUUUAUAAAAGAAAAAUUAAGUUAAGCUAACAUUGGCCCAGCUACUAUCUUUUAAAACGAAGGAGAUCUUCAUCGUUCUAAGCCAUUUUGGGCGUUUUUGGCAUUUGGCCCAUUCAAAAUAAUUAUUUUUAUAAAUAGCUCUAUCAAAUUUAUAAUUAUAAUUUUGACUUUAUUCCCGCCAUAUAGACGUCACAUCAACGCCACACGAGCAGAGUUGUGGAAUAAGUUGAACACGGUGAACCAUUCACCUUAUCUGAAUACUGUAAAUGAUUCACAGUAUUCAAUAGUAGAAAUAAUAUACUAAACACGGUGAACCAACGACGACAAUAUUAUGAAAAUGCUUGGACACGAUGAAUAAUUCACUGUGUUUAGUGUAUUAUUUAUACUAUUGAACACGGUAUAUCAUUCACCGUGUCUAAAUAUGGUAAAUGGUUCACCUUAUUCAACUUAUUCAAGCCCCCCACACUCUAUUCGCGUCGGACUGAUGUGGUGCCUAUAUGGUGGGAAUAAAGCUAAAAUUGCAAUUAUAAAUUUGGUGAGGCUAUUUAUGAAAAUAAUAUUUUUGAGGGGAACAAAUGCAAAAAAGCUUCAUUUUAAAUGAUAAGACUUUCGAAUUGAUAAUCAGAAUCAUUAAAGUUGAUAUAAAGUAUUUUAGAAAUUAAAUCUUAUAAAUUUUAAAAUUUAUUUUUGUAGUGAUCAAAAUAUCACAAAAUUAAUAAUUUUUUACGGCCUAUAUGAGUGGUUUGUUUGUUAACGGUGGAGAAGUAUUCAAACCACUUAACUUUUGGUAGGAAAUUUGUUAUACUAUUUAGAUAACGUCUGAUAACACUGACUAUGAAUUGAAAAGUUUAAUAUCUAUUUUUAUAAGAUUAUUUGUUUUUUAAUGUUUAUUUUUUAACUCUUUGAUGGACUUAAUAAUAAUUUUUAUAAAAUUUAGUUUCUAAAUUUUUUAAAUAUUUUAAAUCAUCUUUAAUAGUUUCGAUUAUCGGUUCGAAAAUUUAUAUCAUCUAAAAUGACUUAAGAGGACGAAUGCCUCCGUUGUUUUAAAAUGAUAACAGCAAGAUUCAAGCUAUAUAUUAUAAGAGUGAAUGAUAAGGAAAAUGCUUUGCGUACCCAUGAAGGAUGUUCUUCUAGAUAAAUACUUUGGGUACUCUACUUAAUUAUGUGCCCUGCAUAAUAAUAAUAUAAUUAAUGUGUUGGUUCCCUAUGCAUGUAAGGUUUGGGGUUAAGUAUUUAAUUAUAGUAUUUAAAAUGUAUUGAGGGUGUUUAGGAUUUAAAAAUUAGUGUUUAAGAUUUAGUAAUAAUGUUGCCAAGUCAUGAGUAAUAUUGUAAGCUACUUUUUAGGAUACAUAUAACUGUACUUGCAUUUUUAAUAUCUAACUAGUGUGGUGACUUGCGCAUUAUAACAGAUAGAUACUGUUAAAAUAAAAAUUUAUAAAAAAUAAAAUAUCAGUUUAGCAUGACAAAUUAUAUUACCAUAGUGUGUAUUAUAGAGAAAUAUUUUAAAAAAAAAAAACUAUAAUGAAAGAAUUUAAUUGUUUCAAUAAAACUAUUCAAUAUUGUUCAAGAAAAGUCGCAUACCAAUAUAUCAUGCAAAUGGAUGGUUAAUAUUAUUUCUAUAACAUAAUAAUAAAAUGAGUAAAAAAAAGGAAAAAAAAAUAGACCCUACUCUUUUCCAAAUUAAGAGGAUAGGUAUAUAUAUAGAAUUUAGCCAUGAAAAUUAAUAUAUAGAAUAUAUAAAUUUUUUUCUUUUAUUAUGUAGUGAUUAUACUAUAUUAUUUAUAUCCUAGCGAAUUAUUUUUUUUAAAAUAACAAUGCUGAAAUAACUAGACUUAGAGCUAAAUAUAUUUGAUUGGAAUUUGGAGACACCACUUCAUUUAUAUAAUUACCCUAUUUUAGACUUUCUUUAGGAUAAUUAUCCGCAUACCCCUUAAAACUUCGAAAAUAUCUCAUUUACGUUUAUUUUAUUUCUUUUCAAUAUACCACUCAUAUGUUUCUCCGUUAUUUCAAAAUAUCUCUACAGUUACCGUCCGUUAAGUUAACUUAGAUUAAACGUAAGUUAAAUAUCUACUAAAGUUUUUUAAAAAAUUAAAAUAUAUUUUUUGCUCUUAACUUAAUGCAAACAAAAAUGUUGGUGAUAGUAAAAAAAUAUAUUUGAAAAGAUCAAAAAUCAAAAUAUUUUUUUUGCUCCUAACUUAAGAGCAAAUAAUAAAAGUUGGUGAUGGUAGAAUAAUAUAUUUGAAGAGGUAAAAUAGUAAUUUCAUAUAGAUAAUAACUAUUGCUAACAUAUCAUGAACAUGAUUUAACUGUAAGAAUAUUUUUGAAAUAUAUUGGUAGUCUUCUAUGAUAGAUAAAUUAGAAAGUCGAAAACUUUUUGGAGGUAUUUGGAUUGGGUACAAAAGGAGGGAUAAGGGGGUUAUCCGCUCUCUUGCACCCAAACACCUUUUCAUUGGGUGGGAACAACUUGUUCCCACCCCUGGAUAUAUGAAGAGAGAGAGAGAUAGACUUUUUAUUUUAAAAUUAAAUUUAAAUUUUUAAAAUUUAUAAUCUUAAAAUUUAAAUUUAUAAUUUAAAAUUAUAAAUUUUAAAGUUUAAAUUUUAAAUUUGAUAUUUUUAAAUUUUAAAUUUUAAAUUUGAUAUUUUUAGUUUUUAAAUUUUAAAUUUAAUAUUUUAUAUCUUUGAAAUUUAAAUUUGGUCUUAAAUUUAAAAUUUGAUAUUUAAAAUUAAAAUUUUAAAAAUUAAAAUUUUAAUUUUUAAUUUGAAUUUAAAAGUUAACAUUUUUAAUUUAAAAUUAUAAGUUUAAAAUUUAAAAAUUCAAAUUCAAUUAUAAGGAUAAUACUAUUAUUUUCUAUUUAUAACUACCAACUAUUCAUCUUAUUCUCAAUAAACAUCCAAACACAAUUUUUCUAAUUCCAGCUUAUACUUACAUUUUCAUCCAAACAAAAAAUACUCUUGUUCUUACAAAAAUUCAUAUUUAUAUCUAUCCUCGGUAUAAUUAGUUUCUACUAAUUUUCGAACCAAACGAAGCCUUUAGGAAUAUGUAAGUAAUUAUUAUUUUUUUUAUUUAAAGUGCAUAAUUACAGAGAUCUAUUUCUCUGCCUUACUUGGGUGCAUGCGUGUGUGGGUUGGGUCCGUUGUGGCAAUGUAGGGUGCUUUGGGUUUGGGCUCAGGGGCCUUAAAAAAAAAAAAAAAAAAAACCUAAUAAUACGAUUUAAAAUUUUAAAACAAAAAUUAGUAAACUGAUAGUAUUAAAAUCACAGUGAAAAUGUGAUAAAUGAUAAGUUUGGUGCACCAUAAAAUUAGAAACUAAUAUGAUUAAAAGUAAAAGGCCCAAAAAAAAAAAAAGAAAAAAGAAAAGGAAUAUCUUCGCUGCGUAUUUUAGCAUAUCCCCGUCGAGAAAAGAAGCCCUUUUUUCCUUCCCCGUUUUUCGAUCGUCAUCCCCUUUUGUUUUCGCAGCCACAAAGCGCCCGCUCGAAACCCUAGCCCUUUCAGAUCCCGAACCUAGGGCACGGCCAUGUCCAAACCCUGGGGCGGAGUCGGCGCCUGGGCCCUCGAGGCCGAGCGCGCGGAGGCCGAGGAGCGGGAGGCCGAGGAGGCCGAGGCCGCGGCCGCGGCUGCCGCGCCGCCGGAGCACUUCCCCAGCCUGAAGGAGGCUGCCGCCUCCGCCGGCGGGGGCAAGUCGAAGAAGAAGAAGGCGACCUCGAUCUCCCUCUCCGAGUUCGCCACCGGGACCUACGUCGGCCCCGGCGGCGGCGGCCGCCGCCACCCCUCGUCGUCGUCGUCCCUCGUCGAGCCGAAGGGCCUCACCCCCGACGAGAUGCUCCGCCUCCCCACCGGCCCCCGCGAGCGCUCCGCCGACGAGCUCGAGCACUCGCGCCUCGGCGGCGGGUUCCGAUCCUACGGCGCCGGCGGCUCCCGCGGCGGGUUCCCAGGCCGGAGAUCCGACGAUGGCGACGGGUACGCCGGAAGGAGGCCCUACGGCGGGGGAUUCGACGAGGAUCAGCACCGCGGCCCCCCGUCUAGGGCUUCCGAUCCCGAUCAGCCGUCGCGGGCGGACGAGGUCGACAACUGGGCCGCCAACAAGAAGUCGUUCGCGCCCUCGCCGAUGGAUUCGGGCCGCCAAGAUCGGUACAGCUCGCUGGGCGGCGGCGGCGCCGCGUCGCGGGCCGACGAGGUGGACGACUGGUCCCGCGGAAAGAAGCCCCUUCCCUCGCGCUACCCCGCCUUCGGAUCCGGGUUCAGGGACACCACCGGCCCCUCCGACUCCGACCGAUGGGCGCGCGGAGGAGUUGAGGGGCCAGGGGACCGCGAAAGGCCGAGGCUUGUUUUGGACCCGCCCAAGAGGGAGGUCGGAGGGGUCGCCUCGGAGCCGGCUAGGAAUCGGCCGAGCCCGUUCGGCGCCGCGAGGCCGCGGGAGGAGAUUUUGGCGGAGAAAGGAUUGGAUUGGAGGAAGAUGGAGACGGAUUUUGAUCUUAAGAAGACGAGCAGGCCCACCAGUUCCCAAUCCAGCAGGCCUUCUAGCGCUCAGUCCAGCAGGCCCGGGAGCCCCGGAUCGCAAGGUUUGGCCACGGCCGGCGAGGGCGCACCUAGGGCACGGCCGAAGGUGAACCCUUUUGGGGAUGCGAAGCCCCGAGAGCUUGUGUUAGAGGAGAAAGGCAAAGACUGGAAGAAGAUUGACCUUGACCUGGAGCAUCGCGGGGUUGACAGGUUCGGAGCAAUCUUUCUUGUCUCAAUUCCUUCUUUUAAUUUGAUAAAGGUUCGCUAUGUUAUCUUCCUGUUACUUGGUAUUGCAAUGUUCUGUUGUUCUCUCUGCGUUCUGUGCAGUUAUCUUUACAUUAAUAACCAAAAUAAGCAUCCAAAUUGGUUUUCUCUGAUUAUAGUUUUCGAUGGUUGGAUUCGAAUGAUUCUUUCUCUUGCUGCUUUAGCUGUCAAUUUGCAUCCUAGGAACUUGAAUUAUGUUUUCUUGUUUUUGGGCCUCUACCUCUACUAGGAUCAACAUAGUUCUUUGAUUGAAAUGUCAAUUGGGAACAGUUUUCUUUUAGGCCCUGUACAAAGAUAACUCAGCCGGUACAGUUUUCUUGUUUUUGGGCCUCUACCUCUACUAGGAUCAACAUAGUUCAAUGAUAACUCAGCCGGUACAAAGAUGUUCUUUUGUGAUUGGAAGUUAAGAGUUUAAUUUUUGCACCUUGAAAAAUCUUGGCAUCCGUGAUUUGGUUGGAUAGUAUAGAUAUAUUGUAUUAUGGAAAAAUGACUUGGAAAGCAGAAUAUUGUAUUUAUUCCAGACAUUUGAUUACACUCCUUAUUUAUCACAUACUACGUACUUCUUGAGUAAACCAAAAGGAUAUACCGAAUACAAUAUUCAUGCAUCUAAACAGGGCAUUAUUCUUUCAUCAAUGGUCGUACUUCUGUAAUGUUAAGGAGAUUCAUUAUCUUGCCGUUCCUCAUUUGUAUGUUAUACUGUUUGCAGUUUGUACAUGAAUUUUCUUACAGUAUUCAUCUAUGUGGAGUAAUUUGAACAAGAGGGCAUGUUGAGGAAAUUUAAUAACGAUUUCUCAUUGUCUGAUUUUACAUAUUUCCUUUUUUUCUUGCCUAUUAGCUUCUCUCCUCCAUGUUCUUACUAGCGUCUCAUCUAUUUUUCUUCAUUAUAUUCCAGCAUCAUUUGCUUCUUUCUGUCCUUCAGGUAGCCAAGCCAUAAGACUUCAAACCUGAUCCUUUCUUUUGCUGAUAUUGUUAAACCUGAACAUGUCAUUUCUUAAACUGUAGAAGCUGCCAAGCACGGACUAUAUGUCACACCCAUUGAUCCCAUAUGUUGAUAGAGAAACUGCUUCUCUCUCUCCUGCAUCAUUGUUUGAAAAGUUGUAAUAUUUACGGUUCCAGUCCUUGAAUGUUAAGUAUAAGUAUAUGGAUAAAACAUAUUUUGGCCACAUGUUUUGUAACAUUUAAUUGUGUUCAGCAUGAUUUAAUGAUUAAUUAGUUAAAACAUUUUGUAUUCCUAAUUUUAAAUCUGUAACUAAUAGUUUUAUCUUGAUUAUUCACUCUUCCCACAAAUAUUUGUUUGGUAGCGAAUUAAAAUUUUAGUAUGAUAGUUGUUUUGCUACAAAAUUUUCAAUAAACUUAACUAGGUCCUUCCAAGUUAUGUAUUUUUUUCUCUUGCUGCCGAUUCCUGCAUGCCUUUCAUUUUUUUAAUUUAUUAUGCAUAUGCAUUUAUUUGUUUUAUUACAUGGACAGCAUAUGCUUCGCACAUGCACCUGUUUACUGCAUAACUACUUUGUGGCACCUUUGUCGCUUGGAAAGCAUUUUGCCCUUUAGAAAAAGGCUUUUGGGAUCUUUUCCCUUUUUUAUGUAUUGGCAAAAAUAUAAUUUAAUUCUUCUGCUUGCCUAUUUUACCUUGUUGAUAGUUAGGUUGCUCACUUAUCUAUAUACAACUUAUUAUGUUUACAUUCUUGCUGAUGCUCUUAAUAUUUUGCUUCUUAGCCUUCAAUUUUUCUUGAAUUUCUAUUAAUUGGUGUAGUUUGUUAGAUUAAUUGCUCAAUCUAUCUGUUGUCUAAUUUCAUCUAUAGGCAUAAGAUGUACCCUCUGAUGUCCUAUGAAGCUUUUGUUUGUAAGUUCUUAGAGCCCGUUAGAAUUAUUAAUUGUUGGAAAACAUACCUAGGAAGAUUCAUUUAUCGAAAUGACCCAUUUGGCCAAAUGAGAACUAACUCAGCAUUUGUUUAGACGUUUUUAACCUCAGUGAAGGCCCCAAGAAUAAGGGAUUUGGAGUUAUUAUAAAACCUCCUUACACCAACUCAAAUAGUAUUUCUUUGAAGCUCUGAUGUGGUGCAUAAGGCUAGAAUUGAGCAAUUUUAAUAAAACUUUAUUGAGUAAAUAUGCGUGCAUGUGAUGCAUGUUAAUUAAGACAACUAAUUCUUAUUGAACAAGUAAAAGCAUGCGUUGUUAUGUUGCAUACCUUUGUCACAGACUACAGAGGUAGAUUGACAUUCUCUAGAGACAUUAGAGAACUCAACAUAAAACAUGGAAAGCAUAGUGAGUAGGACACCACUUGAUGGCAUAUAACAUAGAAAAGUUGAUAAUGUAGGAUGAAACAUAGGGACCCUCAGUGAAAAUAUGAAAGCAGCAAUUCUGCUAUCCAUCGACUCGGAGCCAAAUGGGGACGGCAAUUCCAUCCCCCGGCGUUACAGAUCAUUUUGAGAAUUUUUUUUUAAUAUAGUUUGUUUAGAAAAAGUUAAUCAAUUGAAUAUCAUGUUAACACUUUUUUAAAUUCCUUGGUGCACUUUUAGCUCCAUUUUAUGUUGGACAGUGAGUGAACAGCAUAAAAGGAGCCGUGGAUUUUCGUCAACUAUUGAUGGCUAUUAAAUUAAAAGAUUUUGCUUACUUGCUUUGGACUUUAAACAUGUGCAUAAUGAAAGCUUCUGCUUGAGUCGCGUAUUAGUUUAGGUAUGUUGCUGGUGCUUUCAUUAGGAAGACCCUGAAUGUAAGAUUUGCCAUCUGGUUGGCAAGAUUGCUGAUAUAAGGAACUUGGUUGGUAAAUGGUGAAUAAGACCAUCCUUAUAUUGAUAUAUGGAAAUUUCCAAGAGUACUGAUAUGAGGAACUUGGUUGGUAAAUAGUAAGAAGACCGUCCUUAUAUUGAUGUACUAUGAUGUACAUUUGCAUCUACAGAAGUCCUUUCUUUAUGGAGGUCCUGGUAGGUUGGCCCCAACGGCAGACGUAAUUCUGGCAGGAGGCUCUAGUUAUGGUUAUGUCCCCAUAUACUAUCUUCAUUAUUCUCUCUCUCUCUCUCUCUCUCUCCCUGUCUCUCUCUCUCUCACUCUCUCGGAUGUAAUUUCUGGUCAGCAGGCUCAAGAUACGGUUAUGUUCCCAUAUGCUAACAGUGCCUUUAUAAUAUCCUCUCUCUCUCUCUCUCUCUCUCUCUCACACACACACACACACACGCCCCAGUGGAAAUUGUGGUAGUUCUCCUUCAUUUCUAGCCACCACCUAUCCUCUUGAGAAGUUUUGAUUUGUGAUCCUUUCUGCUAUUAUUUGUGUGCCUUUUAAAGCCUUAAAGCCUUAUCAUUUGUAAUUACCCUCAACCUCUGAUUGAUUCUAUUGACCGUUUAUCAUCUUCUCCGUCUUGCUUUUCUUGGACAGAGAUGUUUGAUACUCUCGCAGCCUAACCUAGCUUUGGCAGCUAUUCCAAUAUUGAUUCAGCCAUAUUGACAUUCAGUGGUUAUUGAAAAUUUCAGUUAGAUUAUUAUUAUUUUUUUCCUUUUCAAUAAAAUGUCGGAAGCCAUUACGUGUGUUGUUAUUGUAGAAGAAAAUGAUAGGCUAUGAAUCUAGAGUCAGCUGAAUGUGUUAGUCCUCUCCUAAGAAAACAUUUAACCCCACAAACUGAGAUUCUACUUGUGAAACCGGAUAGUUUUCAAUGUCAUAGUCCUCUCCUGAUCAAUUGUGUCCGGAUCAUACUUUUAAUACAAAAGGAUAUUUGUAAAAAGUAUGUAGCUUAUUUGAACUAUGACUCAUUUUGAAGCAGCUACCUAAUCUUUUAAGAUUUUGAUUUUACUACCCAACAUUAUAAUUCAUUUGAUUUCAACUAUUUGACAGCUCUUUUGUUAUAAAAUUUGUACGCACCACUUGUUCUAAUUGAGUUGUGCUUCCAUAAAUUAUAUGAGAUGCUGUAAAUAACUUUAGUAAGAUAAAUGACAUACUCAAAUUUUAUGCUGAAAAAGUCAUUAAAUGAUUCAAAUCAAAUGAAUAAGUAGGAAAAUCAAAAUUUGAAAGAUUAGGUAGUUGUUUUAAAAUUUGUCAUAGUUUAGAUAAGCUUUAUACAUUUUUUACCAAGGAUAUUUGCUUGUAGUUAUGUGAUUGAAAUAAGCACAAUAACUAUACAUACAGUUCAGAUACUUCUUUUAUACAUAUUUUGACAGUAGAUUGUAGUUCGUUUGUGAUUCAUCGGCCUGGAGAUAAGUCAAAUUGAAGAGAUCUUUAUCUUUCACUUGAGUAAAGUUGGUAAAAGUAAUGACCUUAAAAAGUUUUAUAUUAUUUAUUUUCUUUUAGGAGGCUAAAAUUUGAAACCUAAUUUUGUAUUGGUAUUGGAAUUUUAGGUUCCUUUUUUCUCUCUCAUCUCUUUCUUCAUAUUUUAUUGGUUUGGACAUUCUGAAAGAAUUGCUUCCUAUGAAUAAUAAAGUGGAGAUUCUUUUAUGAUACGAAGUUACUCAAAUUUUCUAAAAUGCAUGUUGUGUGUUGCUUUUGGUAGAUGUAAGCAGCUGUCUUAAUCCUGACUUACUAUUACCCUUACUCUCCUGUGCAAUCAUUUUGUAGAUCAAGUAUGGCAAGUUAUUACAAAGAGCACCUUAAUUCAAAUAAGAAAACUUCAGAUCCACUAUUCGAGUGUAACGCUAGUUAUAAAAUCAUCGCGUGCUUCAUUUUUGUCACCAAUAUCUUCCCUUUCCUGUUCCCUCCUAUCCAAAUUUGCAUGUUAUAAUGUGGAAUUGAUUUUUCAGACCUGAGACAACUGAAGAAAAGAUUCUGAAAGAGGAGAUCAGUAAUCUGAAGGAGGCACUAAAAGCAACUGAGGUGAACACGAAUAACGAAUCUGUACAAGUUUCUGCUGAAGAAGUGACCAAUCUGCGUGAGAAGAUACUUAUAAAGGAGAAGGACCUGGAGUUGUUGAUACAGCAAUUGGACGACAAGGUCCGAUUUGGACAGAGAGGGACCACUGACAAUCGGCCUGGCUCCGGAGCUGGUAGGGUCGCUGCAUUUUCACAAGCUGUUUUGUCAGAAGAUUCGCGGAGUACAGAGAGCAUAGAAAGACCACGUUCUCGUGGUGGCAUGGGCGAAACGUUGCCGAAGACGGUGGAUGACAAAUGGGGUUUCCAGGGAAUUAGAGAUAGGAGCUCCUUUGGUAGCAGAAACCAGGGCAGGUACAAAAAUUCUAGUGUCCUUCCAUUUUUCUCUUGUUUUUUCCCCCUGAAAUUUCACGUGAAACUUCUCUUUCAUAGAUAGGCAGUUAGGUUGCUAUAUUAAACAAUAUGUGAAUCAGUAGGUAUUUUCUAACCAAGUUUUCUCCUCUAUCUGAGAACGGUAAAGUUGUGAAUGAUAUUACCUAAUUUGUCUUUCUUCCGAAUGUUUAAUAAUAUGACAGUGUUGAAGAAAUUCCAAAAUCCAAGUAUCAUAGGAAGCAUUAUAGUUGGGCUUCAUUUACACUCUUACAUGGAAUUUAUUUCAAUUUGCCGUCAUGAGUAUAUUAUACCUUUCUAUUUUAAAGCUAACCAUUCAACUAUUAAUCUCUGCUUUUAUCUAAUUGUGCAACAUGCGUACAUAAUUUUGUGGUGGCCAUAUUGUGAAUUAUACAUGUUACAGCUAAAUGAUUUUUAAGCCUUGUCAAAAAAGAAACUUAUAUUUGUUGGUUCUUUAGAAGUAAUAUAAUAAAGUAUUUAGUUCCGCUUGCUAUUGGAAAUUUCUCUUUGGACGGACAAACUCCAAUUUGUUAGCAAGAUUUCAGUUCAAGUUCUAACUUUAGUUACGCCGGUUCCAAACAGUUGCCUUUGUUUCUUUUUUUUUAUGCUGCAGUUAACUGUUGGUUCUUUUCUUUUCUCUCCAAUAUGUUUUUCAGGUCAAGGUCCAGGGAGAGGUGGUGAAAGCUACCAGUGUGAAUCCUUUUUGUUGUUUUGCUGCUCUUUUGAAACCGGAGACAGAAAAAUAAACUGUUAUUUCUGAUUUUCAACCUUUUGUCGUCUCAUUAUUUCUUUUUUUUUGCUUUUGGAGGGGAGCGAGAAUCUGGAUUUUCAGAGAUUACUUGUUGCUGUCUAAUUAUUAUUGCUACCUUGAUGUGGCGUAUUUGAAUCCGUUUUUCCAUGUCGAGGCCAAGCCGAAACCUUUGACUCACUAAUUACACUGCUUUAUGAAGCAAUGCCUUCUUGGUAUUAUUGUUGGUACUGCAACCAUUUUUUCCGGCAUCCAUAGAAAGAAUUUAUUCUACAGUGAACGCAACUUUUAUCUCAUUAUUUAUCGAAUGCAUGGAUUUCUACUGCUGCGUUCAUGAAGCCUCUGGCUUCUAAUGCUCCAAUUUGCGUUUUAAGUGUUCUUUUCAUUGCGAUCUAUUGUGAAUUGCAAUUAUGCUGCUAUUGAUGUCUCUUUGUUGGUUGGUGUGGCAUGUUUAAGUGAUAUUGAGCUUUAGUAGUUUACUGAAUGUGGAGACACCAAGGAUAUGUUGGAACAUAUGAAUAUUUUGUUCCACAUAUAAUCUUUUUGGCUUGCCUAAGAAAUGUCGAAUCUGGCCCUUUCGGAGUUUCAGCAUUGUAAUUAAAAAUGUUUUGAAAUGUCAAAUCUAGCCCUUUCGGAGUUUCAGCAUUGUAAUUAAAAAUGUUUUGUUUAGUGGCGGACGGUUGGAAGUUGCACUGAUGGAUCUUACGCGUUCAAAAAGUGUGUAUAAGAUUUAGAAGAAUUAUCUGAAUCUUCAGAAUAAAAUUUUUUUUUUUUUGAGAAAGAUCUUCAGAAUAAAAUUGACACCUCAUUUUUGGAUGUUAAGCAACGUUCUGGUUGUUCUAACGGCCGUUUUUUUUUUUUUCUUUUCUUUUUGUUCCUUGUAAGGCUUAACAUUCCGAAAGCCCUCAAUAUUUUUUUUUCCUCAAAUGUGAAAUUUUAAGAUUGCAUCACGCAAUUCAAUCAUAAUGUAUUCCUGAGUUAGGGAUUGUUUGUUAAACUUAAUCUGUGCUCUAAACUCUAUAUAGCCCAAAGGAAUUGGAAGUUCCCUACUCUUGGAAAUGCAUGUAUCAAUCGAGUUUUACGUAGGUCCCGAUGUGGGACCUAUUUUUUUCGUUUUUUUUUUUUUUUUUUUGUUCUCCCUCUCAAUAAGUGUGCACUUUCAAGCACUGACAGAACUCCCACCACAAUGUCUGAGUUCUGGAAACUCAUCAGUUGCAUAGGGUAGGCUUCAAUUGUACCAAACAACUCUUUUAGUAGUCAUAUUCCCUAUAUAAUAAUAACAUGGAUCAGAAGAGGUUUGCCAUUCGCAUAGUUGAUACUUCUCUAGAUUAUUAUUAAUAAGGGAUAUUUACUGGGCUAGCUCUUUCCCAUCUGGGACAUUCACUGUUUACUAGCCUGUCGCUUUGGUGCAAAAAUUACGAAGCGAAGGCAGCAAAGGAAGUGUGGAUGAACCAAGUAGCGAAAGCGAAGAUCUGAAGAUCUUGCCCCUUUCUAUAGACGAUGAUAUUCUCAAUGCAUAGUGAGCGUAGACAAGAAAAAUUGAUCGGAGUGAUGAUCUACACUCGAUAUGUUUUCAAUCUCAAACUAACUAAUCGAUAGCGCAAGAAGAUAAAUGUGCGGACAAAGUCAUUCCAAAAGUUAAAUUUUAGGCAAAUAUCAAAGCUCAAAGAUAAUGCAUUAUUUGGCACGCAUGAUCUAACUAUUGACUUUACUUGUUGGUUGAUCUGCCGAUCUUUGUUGUAAUCUUGUAGUUUAAAUGUAAUCCAUAGUUGGUUGCUGGGGAGGUUGGAUAGAUCAAGCUCAGACCAGGUAAGUAAGAGAAUGUCAUAUUUAACUAACCUUCAGAGAUUUCUUCAUUGGAGAAGAAUCAGAAGAUGCAAUGAAAUUUAUUAAUACUAUUUCGAAUUUCUAGUAACAAGGAGUAAUAAUCUAUUGUAAAAACAACACAAGACGAUUGGAGUAAAAGAUCCGUUAUAACAUUUUUUAAAGAUGAAGCACGGAAAUUUGUCUUAUUUUGAAAGAAUUGAAGAGCCAAUAUUGAAUACAAACGAAGAUUAGAUUGCUCCUUACAAUAGCAGGGCAACAUCCGCGUUUGUCAUUUCCGGUGCAUCAAAACCUCCCAAAAAAUCUGACAAAGAAUUGAAAGGAGCGACUGAGGUUUCCAAAUCAAAUCUCCGAGGCUGCGUUUGGUUGGAGGGAUAUCCCAGAACAAGGCGGGAUAUCCCUCCAAACAUAAUGCUUUUUGGAACAACCGGGUUGUUCCCGGAACAACCCGUUAAGCCGGGAAUAACCCGUUAAGCUUGUUCUCCCUAAAAGGGAGAACAAGCUGGAACAAAAAUUUUGGCCCUUUUUUGUUUUCUGGCCUUUUAAUUGUUUAUACUUUAUUUUAAUUAAUUUCAAAUAAAUUAAAUGAAUGCUCAAAUUUAAUAAAUAAAUAUAUUAGUAUAAGUAUUAUUUUUAUGAUAAUAUAUUUAUACUUAAAUUUUAUUAUAUAAUAUAAAUUAAUUAAAUUUGAUAUAUAUUUUAUUUUAUUAAGUUUUAUCAUUUAUAUAUUAAUAUUUAAUUAUUUUAUUUUAUAUUAAUUAUUAUAUACAUAAAAUUAUUUUUUCAUAUAUUAUAUAUAUAUUUUAACUUGUAUUGAAAUUUAUACUUAAAUUUUUAUGAUAAUAUAUUUAUACUUAAAUUUUAUUAUAUAAUAUAAAUUAAUUAAAUUUGAUAUAUUUUUUAUUUUAUUAAACUCUAUCAUUUAUACUUUAAUAUUUAAUUAUAUAUAUUUUUUUUAUUUGUAUUAAAAUUUAUACUAGUUAUUAAUUAAAAUAUAGGGAUAUUGUUAGUAUUAUACUUUAUUCAUUAAUAUAUUAUGAAUAAAUUAUAUAAAAUAAAUUAUUACAUAAAAUAAAUUAUUAUAUAUAAUAAAAUAAAAUAUAUUAUUUUAAAUUAGAUUCUUACAUAAAAUAUUAUAUUAUAAAUUACUAUAUGAAAUAAUUUUAUAAAUAAUUUUAUAUAAAAUAUACUAAUAUAAAUUAAUUAUUUUAUUUUUAAAAAUAUAUUUAGACGUUGUUCUAGACUUUUUAUCCAAACGCUAUUAAGGAUAUCCUCUAGAAUAUCCUCGAAUGCAUCCAAACAUAAAUUUACAAUUGUUCUAUCUUGUACCGAAAUAUUCCUUGUUCUCGGGAACAAUAAAAGUUGUUCUCCAAAAUUUAGUUCUCUAACCAAACGCAGCCCGAGAGUCCGAGAACGCCGACCACAGCCGCCGCCGCGAUCGCUCCGCUCGCCAGCCCAACCAAGAAGCUCCUCCACGCUCCAUCCUCCGCCGUACCCUGCGGCGGCGGCGCCGUGGGCAGCGGCGGCGCGCUCGGCUCGGUCGCUACGAACUCGGCCGCUCCGCGCACCGGCUCCGCCGAGCGAUCAUCGGGGGCGGCGCCGAGGGGCCACAGGACGCGCACGGCGACGCGGACGACGCAGGCGCCGCCGCGGCGGCGGCGGUGGAGGGGGAGGGGGAGGGGGAGAGCGAGGGCGUCGGCGGCGAGCAGGGGGAGGGAGGAGAGGGGGAGGGAGGCGGAGGCGAGGACGAGGGAGGGGCGGAAGGGGAGGCGGCGGGGGGAGAGGAUCUGGACGGUGAGGGAGGAGCUAGGGUUUCGGAGGAGGUGGGAGGAGAGGGGGAGGUGGAGAAGAGUUGCGGGGGGGUCUAGGGUUAGGGUUAGGGUUAGGGUUUUGGGGGAGCGCUUAUCGACCCACGCGACGAGCUUAAGCUUGCUUUUCAGGGUGUCGGGGUAGAGGACGGUGAGUUCGAGAGUGGCCUCCGCUGCCUCCUCCGACAUUUGUGUCUACUUCAACGGCGAAUCGCUGAGUCUGCGGCGUUUCGGGUUGUUUGACCGGAAAAUAACUCGCCGGGUCAAAUCGAAUCGCAUUAUGGGUUUGGAUUUGAGUUUGAGUUUGGUCACGCCGAAAUUUGGGGCCGACUCGUGUCGGUCAGUCUACUAGACCAACCGAACGUGAGCUAGCCGGACUCUACAGAACUAGGCUAAUAUACUAUUAAUAGCACCAAGUCAUUGGUGCUAUCAAAUUUUUGACCAUUGGAUUAAAAAAUAUGCGAUUAGGAUGAUGUGAGCUCCCUAGGGUUGAAUGGGUGGUUGAUUGAAUAGUAUAAUCUAACGGAUGAAAAUGAUUAAAAGGGUAGAUCUAACAGCGAAAAAUUUGGUAGCACCAAGUGCUUCGUGCUAUUAAUAACAUAGUAGCCGGACUCUAUAUAUAUAUAUAUAUAUAUAUAUAAAAUUGAGCUUCUAUGAUUUUAAAAGUAUCUAGUUAUUAGUGCUUGUAAAUUUUUUGUCAUUGAAUUAAGAGAUAUACGGUUAAAAUGAUGUGGGCCCUUUAGGAUUGAGUGGGAGGUUGGUUGAAUAGUAUAAUUGAAAAUGAUCAAACGCGUAUAUCUAACGGUAAAAAAUUUACAAACACUAAAUGCUUAGUACUUUUACAAGCACCAUAGCCAAACUCUCUCUCUCAUAUAUAUAGAGGCAAUUGUUUAUAUAUCCCUGAAAAGUUUCCGACUUUCCGAUUUACCCAUCUUAGAAGGCUAAUAUUGAAAAUACCCUUUCUAUGUUUCAACCUAUUUCUAAUAUACCUCUAGAGUUAAAAUAGGUUAAUUAACUCUAUUAUCUUUGUAAAAUUACUAUUUUGCCCUUUCAAAUAUACCAUUCCACCAUCACUAACUUUCUUUUUUGCCCUUAAAGUCAGGGGCACAAAAAGUAUUUUGACUUUCGAUUUUUUCCAAUAUACCCUUUACCGUCACCAACAUUUCUUAUUUGCCCUUAAAUGAAGGACAAAAUUGACAUUUUAUUUUUUUUUUUAACUCUGGAAGAUAUUUAACUCAUGUUUAAUCCAAGUUAACUUAACAGGAUAUAACUGCGGGAGUAUUUUACAAAAACGGUGAAAUAUAUGAGGAAUAUUUUAGAAAGAAAAAAAAAGAAUAAAUCGAAUAUUUUCAAACGUAUGAGGGGUUGGGUAUAUAGGUAAUUAUCACACGCGCGCGCGCGCGCACACACACACACACACACACACACACACAUAUAUAUAUAUAUAUAUAUAUAUAUAUAUAUAUAUAUAUAUAUAUAUAUGCAUGCUACUAUACUAUCAAUAGUACCAAGCCCUUGGUACUAUUGAGUUUUCGGCCGUUGGAUGAAAGGAUGUGCAGUUAUGAUGAUAGUGGUCUCCGGUUGAACUGAUAGUGGUCCCCUAGGGUUUAGUGGGUGGUUGGUUUAAUAGUAUAAUCUAACGGAUGGAAAUGAUCAAAAGGUAGAUCUAACGAUAGAAAACUCAAUAGUAUCAAAGGCUUGGUACUAUCGAUAGUAUAAUAGCCGGACUCUAUAUGGCUAUAUAUAUAUAUAUAUAGGCCUUGUACUCAUAAAUUUUUAACUGUUGAUUGAUGGGAUGUAUGGUUAGAAUGAUCGUGAUCCCCACUUAGAAUGAUAGUGGUCCCCUAGAAUUGAGUGGGCAGUUGGUUGAAUAGUAUGAUCUAGCGGAUGGAAAUGAUCAAUGAAAUAAAUCUAAGAACCGAAAACUUAUGAGUAUACUCAUAAAAGUAUAGUAGCCGAACUAUAUAUAUAUAUAUAUAUAUAUAUAUAUGGCGAACUAAUCUCAACUCGUAGUCGGCUCGUUUAUUAAAACAACAACAACGAUGACAUAAUUAUAGUAUGGUAAAAUUAUUGUGCGGUGUAAUUUCAGCAACUGUAUUUGCAAACUGGAGAGAAAAGAAAGAAGAAAGGUGUGUUCGUGGUAACUAUAGCGGGCGAUGCAGAAUGAGAAAGAAAGAAAGAAUGAAUGAAUGAGAAAGAAAGAAAGAAAGAAAGAAAGAAAGGAAAGAAUACAACUUAAUACAGAGAGACGAUUGUUUAAUAUAUCCAAUCAUUCUUGGUGUUUUUUUUUUUUAAACAAAAAAUCCGACAUUUUUUAUCCCACCCACAAGCAACAAGUUUCUACAUAUCCAGGGUGUCCCAAUCAAACUAUAAAUGAGUCCAUAUUGGGUGUUUGUGGUCAAUGUGUUUGUUAAUAUCUUUUUUUCUAUACUAUUUUUAUUCCCUCCAGUUGCAUUCCAUGAUUCCAAUCUUAGAUACAGCAAUCUAGUAACUGCCCUUAUUUUAAUAAGGGUACUUUUCAUUUUGUGCCCCUAUGAUGUGCCCUAUUUGUCAUUUGCCAUUUUGUGAUGAUUAAAAAAAUACAUCUAGUGUUUGUUUAGAUUGAGGGUCAUCUAAUGUUAUUAGUUAACAUAUAAUUAGGGCGAUACCGUCACUAACAUACUUAUUGGAUUAAAAGGAUCAGCAUCCUGUAUUGUGGCGGAAUGUCAGGUUGGAUCGAGUCACGUUCGAAAUAACGUCAAAUCAAGUAAGGCGGAGUCAUGUUGGAAAUAACGUAAGGUUGAUUAAGUCGAGUCACAAUCGAGAUUCAUAGGCACUGUGUAUCUGUAUGUUUUAAGUAAAUUGAUUACGUGUUUCUAAUAGUUCGAAUUUUGAAAUUAAUGAUCAGCACCAGCGAUCCGACAAUACUAUGACAUACUCAACGUGGUAUUACGUACAAAAAUCAAUAAAUUUUUUUUUACUGUAAUUAUUUUUGUUGCAUAUAAUGCAAUCUCUGUGCAUUUCAAACGGAGCCUUAAUACUUCAAUACCUUACAUACAAAUUGUUUCGCGCCAUAAAUGCGCUAAGUUGAAAAUUUUCCAUUAACAUUACGGGCUUGUUUGGUUUAAGGGUGGAAUUGGAAUGGAUAAUGGAAUGAGAAUGAAUUGAAAUGGUAAUUGAAAUGGCCCACUCCCCCAAGACGCUUGGUUUAUUUGUGGAUUGGGAAUUGGAAUGAGUUAUUCACAUUUCAUUGUUUGGUUCGUAUAAACUAAAAAAAUUGUAGGAUACUAUAAUACUAAUUUUACUCUCAAAUAUAAAUUUAUAUUAUUUAAAAUUUAUGAAAAAUAUAAUACCAUUCUCUAAUAAGUUUUUCAAAAAAAUAUCAAAUUUAUUUUUAAAAACUUUUAUUGAUGUGAGUUAGGGAUAGGGUUUUGAGAGAGGAUAGAUUUUUUUUUUUUUUUUUGAUGAGAAAGGGGUGAAGAGAAGGAGGGUGAGAUGGUCACAUGGGCUUCAAAAACUUAGUGGGCUUCCAGAAUGAAAUCUCAAUCCGGGCUAGAAGACUGGAAUCAAGUUGAAGGCUAAUGGGUCAUUCCAUUCCAGCCCGGAAUAGAAAUCUCAAACCGAUUUAUGCGAACCAAACAAAAUUAACCGGAUUUGAUCAAAUCGAUUUCCAUUUCAUACCCAAAAUGGAUGAACCAAACAAGCCCUACCAUUUCUCUUAAUAUUUUAAGCACAAUAAUGGAGCCAUGGCAAAAAAAUCUCAAUUUAAUUAUGUAGAAAUAGAGGUGGUUUUUUGAAAAAAAUAAAAAAUCCAGCUCGGCCACGUGGGAUCUCGGUAGUGGGUGGAAUCCAACUGCAAGACUCUUGUCCGGUAAUUGCGGAAAUAUAAUAAACUAAUUAACAAAAUAUAUAAAAUAUCAGGGACUCAUUUGAGAAUAAUCCGGGUCAAGCCAGCUACAUGCCUGGGCCCCAGUUGACUCCUCUUAAAUAUGCAAACGGAUCCGGGUUGGUUGAGCUCCCGCCCUGAUUCGCCCCGACGGGGGCAGUAAAUGAAAGAAAAUAAACGGAUUCGGGACAGAAAACGGGAUAAAUUUUAUGAUCCGAGACGGAUUCGGAGCAAGAAACGGGAGAAAUUUUGAUCCAUCCUGAAUCCGCCCCACUAUUAUCUGCCCGAAUCUGCCCGGAAAAUCAUUUAUAUUUUAAAAAAAUAUUCUUAAAAAAUAAUGUAUUUACAAAAAAAAGUUCAAAAUACAAAUAAGUUAGUACUCUCAUUUCUAAUGUAUUUGAAACUUUUUGAAUUUUGUUUUGAAUUGUGAUUGAUAUUUUUUUAUUUUUAUAAUUAAUAUUGUUAAAUUAUAUAUAUAAUAUUAUUAAAAAUUAUUAAUUUAUAAUUUAUAAAAUAUUAAUAAUAUUAUUAUUUUAUGAAAAAUAUUAGUUGGCGGGGCGGAUUCAGGGUGCCGGCGGGAGGCAGGUUACGAGGUGGGGCGGAUUAUGGGAUGUAUUUUUUAACCCGUCACGGAUUCGAGGCGGGAGGCGGGACGGGAUUUUGCUAGUCGGGGCGGAAGGCGGGAUGAAAUUUUGCUAGUCGGGGCGGAAGGCGGGACGGAACCCCUGCCCUCAGAUCCGCCCCGUUUGCAUCCCUACUCUUAAAGGAAAUUGUUUUAGCAUCUUGUCCCCAAAUAAAGAUUCAUUCUCAAUACAGUAUUUUACUUUUAAUAGACACUCAAACAGGAAAAAAAAAAACUUUUAAAUCAGUAAUUCGAAGGACGUAAUGUACUCUUUGUCCAAAGCUUAUAAGAUGAAAUGGAACACGAAACACUUAUAAAACUGUAACAAACAGAUCCACCCCCAAUAAUAACUCGUUGGGUCCAAACCAACUCAAAUCACAAACAAACAUAUUAAAAAAUUCUAGAGGUGAUUCCUACAGAUUCAAGAGUUGACUCCGACCAAAUUGAUUGAUGUAGCAUUUUGCCAUGUACUCUCACAUUCGUUGGGAUAGUACUUUGUCCCGCAUAAUAGUUAGGCUUCAUUUAGGAUUGCGGGAGAUUGCGUUACGUGCAGUGAGAAAGUACGUUAGAAAAAUGCGGGAAGAUUGUGUUACGUGCGAUGAGAAAGUACGUUAGAAAAAUACCCUGUUUGUUUCCGUACGUAAUAUUGUGUUCCGCAUAUUGCGAUGAGUCGGUUACGAUAUAUUUUUUGCAACCCCAUCAAAGAACGCAAAAGCAUAUCCCUAUAUGCUUUUUUUUCAACUCCAUUUUAUCUAAUAGUGUUAGAUAGAUCUCAAUACCAAAUUAAGCCUUAGUUCUCACACUUUCGGCUGGUAUACGAUUUGAUACCAAUUAUAACGAUUCGAUCCGCUAGUAAUAAUAACUCGUUGGGUCCAAACCACCGACCCAAAAUACUUAAGUUCAGUUAUUAUUAUUAACGUGUAAGGUCUAAAUAUAUACUAAUUAGAAUUAUUUUUUCAUCAAAUAUGAAAUUAUUAGGACGUUACAGGAACAGUGUACAUUAAACAAAUAAAACAAAACUAAACAGCAGCACAUGACGAUGGAAAAAUUAUAGUGUAGAGUGGCACAAUUCAAUACCACAAAUUCCAUAUAAGAUAAUAAUCCUAUGUCAUCUAGCGCCAAUACUUAUCAACAAUUUCAAAAUCAAUUAAGUUUAUCUUGUUCUUUUUUUAUAUUGUGCUUUUCUACAUAAUAUCCAAACUAAAAAAACUUUUUUUUUUUCUCUGAAUGAUAUAAUAAUUAGUACUUUUGUAGUCAAUUACUCAUAUUUUUUUCAACAUUAUUCUUAUUGAUAAUAAUUAUAUUAAAUUAUAUUAUUUUAUAUGAAGCUAAUUAACAAACUGACAAAGAGCACAUGCAACCAUGGAAAUUAAAGAAGGGUUUCCUUUCCAUUGGAUUCCCAUGCUGGGGGUUUCCAACACCUUUUGCUGGCAUCUUACUCACUUUCUCACAAGCUCAAAGCUGCUUAUCAUUUCUUUUUAAUAAUUAUACGAUCAGAGUUGAGAAUAGAAAGAAAAAAAGAAACAAAAAAUUAAGAGAGAGAGAGAGAGAGAGGGGAUAAAAUUAUUCUCUACACCUGAUCUAUCUGUAUAUCUCAUGCACCGCAUUUCGCCGAUUCAAUUUCAUCAUUCAAUACCACUAAACCAGCUUUAAGUCUUGCGUCGGAACCGACCGUCCAAAGGGCUUGGUGGUUGGUACCCGAGACCAAAGUUUGAAUUCUAAUUGAUUCACAUUUCCGGCUAAGUUUAUUUCUAAAUGAAAUAAACGAAGCGGAUAGUGUGCUACCUAUUUUUCAAAAAAAAAAAGAAGAGUAGUUAGAAAAAAUCUUUUUAAUAACAAAAAUCUUAUACAUGAAUACCGAUCGACAAUCUAACUAACAAAUUAUAAUCUUACACACGAAUACAUACGCAAAGAAAUUCUUAUGACAUCUUUCUAGCGUGAAGUUACUACGGUUACGAAAAAAGGCUUUUUUAAGUAAAUGAAUAUAUGAAUGCGGUGCAUGAGAUACACCAAGAGAGGUUAUGUGUGUGUGUGUGUGUGUGUGUGUGUGUGUGUUGUGUGGUGGAUUUGGAUAAAGGGAAGAUAUGUGGAAAGGAGAAACAAGCAUGUUGGUGUGAAUCCUAUCUGGCACACAUUUCCGUGAUGUACCUUCUUUUCGAAGACCAGCUGUGUAUCUAACUUCCAUUUUUUUUUUUUUUUUGGAAAAAAUUUUAAAAAUCAUUUCUAUGAUUCCCUAUUUCUCACUUUAAUACUUUAUGAUUUAAAAUGCGUAUCAAUUUCAUUCUUUAUAAUUUUUUUUAUUUUUUAUUAUUCCAUACAUUAAUUUUUUUCAUUAAGUUAGUGACAAAACAAAACUAAAGAAGACAAAAGUAAAUGUUUGAUAAACUAUAGAUAGAGUAUCUGCAAUUUUUUAUAUAUAAUUUAACGAAAAGUUAACGGAAGUCGUGACGAAAAGAAAAAAUGAAAUCACAGAGCAUUAAAUUGAUAUAUUUUAAACCACAGAAUGCUAAAAUGAGAAAGUGUAAAAUCACAGAAAUAAUAUUUAAAAUUUAUUUACCAUAUACUUCCCCCAACCCAUGUGCUUGCCCCAUCUAUCUCUCUCUCUCUCUCUCUCUCUCUCUCUCUCUCUCUCUCGACACUUCACCACCACCACCUCCCCUUUCUCAAACAAAGCAGCUCAUUCAGCUAGAUCCAAAUAUAUGCAUUACAAUCUUUGUAUUAUAAUAAUUUUUUUUAGAAAAAACUUAAGAAGGGAGAUCCUUACAAUAACAUUGUAACCAAGGCAAAUGGAAAUUAAAUCUAUGUAAAAAUGUAUUGAACCUCUCUCAACUAUAUAUAUAUAUAUAUAUGGCAUGUUUUUAGUUAACCAGCUACCUCUUACUUUCUUAAUUUUUUUUUAUUACAAACUUUCUAAUUGAUUAAGUUUGAAAUUUCGUCAGAUAAAAUAAAUUUAAUUAUUAAUUAGCUAUCAGAUGAUGAUUAUUUUGAUUUCAUUUACUAAAAAGUGAUCAAACAAACCACUAAUUAUUAAUUAAGAAAGUGUCAACAUGCUCACCGCCUAAAAUGUACAGCAAAUUAAUUAAUCAAAACAACACUUUUCAAAUUCUCAUUUUGGUGUCAAAUUAAACUUCUUACAGCAAAUCAAAUGGUGCGUGUUCAUGCAUGCAUCAUUCCAAAAUUAAUCCAAAAGCCAAAUUAAUUACUCGAUCCCUAUAUGGCUCCUCCAUCGAUCCUCAUGCAUGCAUAUCCCAUCCAUGAUCAUCAAUCCAACUUCCAAGCGUAGAGAAACAAGCAGUACCCUGAACACCCCUCCACACCUGCAGCAGCAGCAGCAGCAGCAGCAGCAGCAGCACUACUGCUAAUGCUACUACUCUUCUUCUUCUCCGUCGGGCUCGGCGACGACGACAGCAGCGACGACAGCGUGGCGGACGAAGAGGACGACGUGCUCGAACACGCCAUCAUCGGAGUCGGCUUGAAUAUGAACAGCGCGUGCCGCAACCCCGGGCUGAAGAGCCAGUUGUGCACGUCCCAGUACACCUCCACCUUCGCCUUGCUCACGGUUAUGCUCUGGUUCCCCCGGAAUUUCCACUGCAGGUGCUUCACGGUGAUCGUCUCCUCCCCGUCGAUGGAGAUCGCCAUCUCCGAAUCGAAGCUACUGCCGCCGCUCUUGCACUCGAUCGUGAUCUCGUGGGAUCUUCCCUUCUCGUGGAAUUUGGAGCGCGUCGAGAAGGUCUUUCGCCCGAAGAUGUGUUCUUUUCUGGAGACCAAUGCGGCUUCGAUCGGGGCCGGCUGGCGGCCGGACUUUCGGUAGGCUUCUUUCCGGAGGUCUCCGAGGAGCAGCGCCAGAUCGCCGUCCGCCGCCACCGCGACGUAGUAGCUCGACUUCGGCUCCGGCUCCCCGCAGAAUUUCGCGCUCCGGAGGUCCCAAAACACUUCGACGGCCGUCCCGCCGGCGAGGAAGCGCUUCGAGCCGUGCCUGCGCCAGAACUGCCACGGCCGCAGCUCGACUUUGCAGUCGAUUGGCGCGGAAUUGGCGGCAUCGGCAUCGGCAUCGGCAGCAGCAGCAGCAGAAUCGGGUGCUCCGACGGCGACGGAGAAGCCGUGGCCGAGGAGGUCCCGGCACCAGGUGAUGGUGAUCGGCCUGCAGCGGCCGCCGAUCUUGGUGCGGUACACCGACGCCACGACGCUGCGGCCCGGCUUGGCGGCCGUGGCGAUCGCGGCGGGAUCGACGUCGUCGGCGAAAUGAUGCCUGUUGUUGUGAUCAUGACCACCAUCACUGGGGAAGAAGCAGGAAGGGAUGAUAGGAAAGGGGUCUUGCAUGGUAAUUAAUUGAUAUGAAAAAAAAAAAAAGAAAAGAAAAAAGAGUUGAGUUUGUGUAGAGAGAGAAUGCAAUUGGAAGGGGAUAGGGGGAAUAAUGAGAGAGAGAGAUAUAAUAGAGAUAUAGAGAUAUAGAGAGAGAGAGAGAGAGUGUGUGUGUGUGUGUGGUGUGGUCACUCCUCAUCAUCAACAAUUUAUUUAAUAAUAAAAAAAAUGAUUUAAUAGUUGAGAGGAGUUGGAGAGGGAGCCCAAUCAUUUCGGGGUGAAUUAAGCUGGGGACAGAGGAGAUGCAUUGAUAGUGAAAAUUCAUUUUCCUAGUGUGGGUGGGGACGAAGUCAUAUGAACAGUUUCUCUAUCCUAACAUGUUACUUUAAAUAAUUCUUUAAAUAUCAAAAAAAAAUAAUUUACAUGGUUUUUAGAAAAGAUUUUUUUCUAAAAUAAUUAUAAUUUUAAUCUUGAUAAAAACAGAGUUAUUAUUUUAAUUUUAUUUUAUUUUAGGCUUAGUUAGGUAUUGAGAUGGAUCUAACGCUAUUAGAUAGAAUGAAAUUGAGAAAAAAUAUAUAAAGAUAUACUUCUACGUUAACUGACUAACCGCAACAUGCAGAAUGUAAUAUUAUGUAUAAAAAUAAAUAAAAUAUUUUUUAAUAUAUUUUUUUACCGCACGUAAUCUAAUGUAACUUUUGGUCACACACUUUCUUUUUUCUUUCUUUUCUUUUUUUUUUUCUUCAAAUUAAGACAUUUGGUCAAAGUCGGGUCAACCGCAUAGAUCGUGGUCUUGCCGUUAUUCCACUCAUACCCGGUGAUUUUGCACACCUGGUUUUUCAGAAAUUAGCCCAGAUAAUAAUUUUCUAGCUGGAAAACUAUUUUUUAUCUGUUUAAUGCUUUUUAAAAAUUUAAAUUUUAUUAAAAACUAGUAUUUUAUUUUUCAAUUCUUUUAUUUAAAAAAUAAAAACUUUAUAAUUUUAGGUCGCCCAUUUUUUAUGACCGAUCGGCUAUAAUAAUUUUCGAAUCAGUUCCAGCUCCGACUAUUGGGAGUGUCAGGUCAUGAGUUCGAUUGAAGCGAGUAUGUAAAAUUUUAGGUAAUGUUUGGUUCAGAAAUAAGGGGGAAUAAGUUCUUGUUCCCUCUUUGUUCCCAAACGUGAUGUUUGGUAUCCGGGAACAGUAGUUCCAAGGUUUCAAGAACAAGCUGGUAUAAGACUGGAACUCUUGUUCCACCAUUUUUCUGGAAUAAGUUUGUUCCUUAAUGAGAACAAGGUUAAUUAAAAUCUAAAUUUAAUUUUAAUGGCAGUAAAUUAUUAAUUAAUCUAAUUAAUAUAUUUAAAUUUUUAUUUAUUGCUUUAAUAAUUAAAUAAUUAAAUAAUUUAUUAUUUAUAAUUAAUUAAUAAUAAUUAGAUAAUUAUUAUAAUUAAUUUAUUAUUUAUCAUUAUUUAUUAAUAAUUAUUAAUAAUUAUUAUCCUUAUUAAUUAGAUAAUCGAUAUUAUUAUUAAUAAAAAUUAGAUAAUUGAUAUUAUUAUUAAUUUAUUAUUUAUAAUUAAUUAUUAAUAAUUAAUAAUAUUUAUUAAUAAUUAUUAAUAAUUAUUAUCCUUAAUAAUUAGAUAAUCGAUAGUAUUAUUAAUUUAUUAUUUAUAAUUAAUUAAUAAUAAUUAGAUAAUUAUUAUAAUUAAUUUAUUAUUUAUAAUUAAUUAUUAAAUUAGAUAAUAAUUAUUAUUAAUUUAUUAUUUAUAAUUAAUUGUUAAUAAUUAGAUAAUUAUUAUUAUUUAAUUUAUUAUUUAUAAUUAAUUAUUAAUUAUUAAUUUAUUAUUUAUUUUUAAGUAAUAUUUUGAUGUUAACUAAUUAAAUAAUAUAAUUUAAUUUCAAAUUAUAACUCUUAUUCCUGUUGUUCCAAUCUAACCAUCCAAACAUUAUUUACCUUAUUUUUAGGAACAACCCAAUUUUCAUCUAAACGCUGGUUACCUGAAUUUAUACCUAUCUCUGAAACUAGCAAUUCUUCUUUAUACCCAAACCAAACAAUGCCUUAAUGAAUUAAUGGGCGAUUUCUGUAUGUUCGAUUUAUUCAACUUUUUUUUUCGGAUGGCUUUUUGGAUCAUCCAUUAUCUAGCCAGAUCGGUUUUGGUUCAAUUAGCCCCUCAUUUGAAAUGAGUCGGAUCAGUUUGGGUCAAUUUGAUCCAAACCCGACCCGAAGGUAGAGCAAUCCGUUAGUUGAUUUGCGUACGAAUGAAUAAAUGAAUAGCUUUUUCGGUUUUUAUAUUUUCCUUAAAAAUCUUUAGAAAAUUAAUGUACUUAAAUAUUCUUUAUACUUAAACUCUGAGGCUUCGUUUAGUUCAGGGUUAAGUAAGAACUAGUUAUUCCAGAGAUAAGGUUAAGUUCUGGAUUAAAGUGGAAUUAGAGUAAUUUUGUGUUUGGUUGAGAACUGGGUUUAGUCCAGGUAUAAGAAAAAUAACGUUUGGCUGGAGUAAGUGGAAUAAGAAGGAUUGUGGGUUGUUAUAAAUAAAAAAUAUUAAUUUUGCCCUAAUUUUUAUAUUUGAAUUUAAUUAUUUUAUUUUAUAUUUCAAAUUUCAAAUUUAAAUAGAUAACUUUCAAAAUUACAGAAUUCAAAAUUAAAAUUUAUUUUUAAAUCUCAAAUUUAAAAAUUUAAAAUUUCAAUUAAAAAAAUUAAAUUUAAAAUUUAAAUAAUUAAAAAUAAUAUUUUAAAUUUUAAAAUUUAAAAUUUAAAAUUUAAAAUAUA
rnacentral:lncRNA from 1 species